ACUGAUACAUGCCAAAUCAUGGACACACCAAUUCAGACGCAGAAAGGAGCCAUGGACACUGCACCACUCAGGAUAACAAAUGAGUGCGCCCCUCGCGAGGAAGUAUAGCAAACAAUAUACAGGUUAUCCACAGUUUCACAGGCGCAGAACUACCCCAAAAAAUUAAUCACCACGCUACAGCUAACAGCCAAAAAAAUGAGAUUACAUGUGUGUGCCCUUAUUGGCAAAAGAGAGAAAUAUGAAAUGAAUCUUUGCAUCGACGAUCUGACCAAACAAUCUGGACAACGAGACAUCAUCCUUUACCUGCUACAUAAAAAAUCGCAAGACCCCGAAACCAUCAAUCAAUCUGUUCAAUGCAAUGGGCAGAUGAUGCUGCGUCUGCUCAAUACUGUCGACACUGGUAGCCAAUGGCAGCACCUCUUCUCCUGUUCAACUGCUGCGUGUAGUUUGUUGUAGAUGGUAGCCAAUGACAGUGCAACUCUUGGGAGCUACAGGCAUCCAGUCAGACAGAGAAGGAUUCAAAGGAGGAGGCCAGUGGAUGUCUCAAACUGUUGUCGAUAGUUCUGAUCAAGUGUGCUACGGAUUUACAUUGCACUCAUCCAUGAAUCGAUCUUCUCGAGUGAGAAACCUCCUCCAGUACUUCUUGUAGUCCAGUAUGCCUAACUCGAGCCAAGGCUUCAUAUUGCCAUUGUAGUGCAAUGCUGCAGAGCUCUGUGCAACCUCCGGAUCGAUUCCAUAAUCAUAUCCAAGUCCAGACAGAGUCGACCUCCCAUCAAGGGGGUAGAUGAGAUUUUGAAAAGACAACAGGCUUAAAGAAAAGGCAGCUUCUCUCAGAGAUACCUCGUCUUUUUUCUUGACCUGCAACACAACAACAGCAGAAUAAAUAUUGUCCUAACCAUAUGAAGCACCAUUGUUCGGUAUUACACAGAAAUUAAUACAAUGAUGAUACUUGCCCAGUAACAAAAAUGAAUACAGCAUGCUACCUAUUCCAUGCAAGUAAUUAUUAUAAACUGAAUUUCACACCACAUAUAAACUGUCCAAAUCUUCUUCCAUGCCAUUUUUUAUGCGAGCUAAGUUUUUUAUACACUGUAGCAUGAAACCAACAGACAAGGCUUAUACCAACCUGUUUAAGGAGCAGCAGGUAAUUCUCUGUUAUUUUAUGCUUCCUCCAUUUAUCCAAAUUGAUCACAUUCACCCCAGACAUCCAUGCACAUGAUUUAGGAUCAUACUUUGUCUUACCCAGGAGAUUUCUCACUUGACCCAGUCUUACACCACAAAAUUCAACAGCACCAUUUACCUUGUCCCCCAUAUCAAGUUUCCACAAGAAAGACAGAUCACGUUGAACAACCACAUCAUCAUCCAAUACAACCACCUUUUUUAGAUCCUUGAAUAUUUCAGGAAUAAAGAAAUGUGAAUGGCUGAACAAUGACAAGUACUCUAUUCUUGUCUGCUCAGUGGGCCGCUCGGUGCUCCUGAUGAGAACACGAAACUCCUCAGACAAAUACAGCUCUCGCGUACUAAACUUUGGUAGCUUCUCUAAAAUCAUUUCUUCAUAGUUUACGACAUGGAUAGGUGCCUUUUUGUAUGAAUUUCGGGCAAACCAGUAUUUCAUGCCAUAGAAGUUUUGAGCAUCAGUUAGGAUAUGAAAAACAUUGUUUGCUGGCUCCUACAAGAACAAUAAGAACAUCAGGAAUGCCCAUAGCAGAAGAUAACAGCAAGCUAGUCAUUGUAAAUAUCACCCACAUACCUUAGAAUUGAUAACUGUUGAGUUGAUGACAACAGAAGCUGCAAGGACAUUCUUAGAUAGUAUAACAUAGUGCCUGUGGUUUGGGGUAUUGAACUUGCGAGCCGGAUAAACAUCAGAAUCCAAUGAAGGGGAUUUGAAAUAUUCCAAUGUCAACCUCAUAGAGAAACAGUGGUGAGUUUUUGGCAAUGUCUGAGAACCAAGAUUGUAGAGGAAUGCACUCUGCUUCAUAUGAAAAUGAGCUUCAUCAUCGGUCAUAUCAAGUAUCUGCCGAAGCUUCCUGACAACAUUGUGGCAUUCCACAGUGCAUGAUUUCGCUUUUGCUAUUGUAUGCUCCAUCUGCUCUAUCUUCUUGUUGAUACUGAACGAAAUAGCACAGUUGUCAUUUGAAUUAUCAAAGUAGUAACUCAUAUAUUGAAAACUGAUAAAUUAUAUGCAGGUUGGGUUUCUACUACUUCUACAAAAACAACAAAAUAUUGUACGAGAAAUUUACGGUCAAAGUUCAAAUUUAGACAGGUAAAUACACUGUAUUUUCAAAGAGGGAGUAACACUCUAAUGUCCGUUUCAGUCUGAUGUGUGUUGCUAAGAUAUGGUACCAUAACCUAGUCAUCAUAACUGAAAUUUAAGAUUUACAAUGGAAUGAAUGACGAAAAGAUAACAAAAGCUUAACCGUUAAAAAUGUAUUCUUACAAGGAUGGCAGAUCAGCAUCAACAGCAGAUGCACUGAGAACCCUCUCAUGGUCUUGUAUAUUUUGCUUCAUUUCCUGAGUAAGUGCCUCCUGUCCUUGAAGCUUGGCAAUACUUGGAUAGUAUGAGCGGGCCACAAAUAGUUGGUCUUUUAGCCUUUUCACUACUGAAUCUUUCAUAAUUACUUUAUGUUCUGUUGACCAGAGGCAGUAGCUCCCAAAUUCAAGCUGACAAGCCUUUAAAUUUUCCACUUCAUCUGGUUUCAGGUCUUUCUUUUGUCUCUUUAUAUCCUUGCUAACUUCCUGAAAGCAAUGCAUGUGCAUUAUAGCAAAACCACUGGACUCUAAUUGAUGCAAAGAUAAGGGGAGGGAUAAGAACAUUGAUUGGAAAAUUAAGUACUAUAUACUCCAAAAGAUACUGGGUUGCAGUACAUUCAGCAUUGUCUUAAGAUUAGCUUACCUAAGUACACUAUCACAUCAAUCCACUAAUAUGGAACGCAAUUAUUUGAAAAUAUUUGCAUUGUGUGCCUAAGAUCUUUUAUGAGAUUGAGCUGACAAUCUAAUAUCUAAAAAUUAUAUACUUGCUGCUACUGCUGUAGAACCCCCCCCCCCCCAAAUUUCCAUUUUGUUGACUAAACAUGUCAAAACAUAAGCAGAGCUUGAGCCCAGUUCUGAAAAAUACAGUACAUAUUUGAAUGCAGAAGGCGUACAAUUGUUCUUUCAGUUGAUCCCUUCACAACCUUUGGCGUUUCAGUUCUUGGUACCGGAAGAACUGCAUAUGUCGUCAAUUACUGAGUCAGAUGUAAAGCUAAACAAACAGAUGCACCAUACAGGAUAAAAGACCAAUAAAGAAAGGACUGCAACCUACAAAUAGCUUCCACGUAAAACAAAACAUAUAGACAGCUCAUCCAAAGAAAGGGAGGUUGUUCUCGAAACAUCAACACUGGUUUGUUUGGAAAUGUUUGGGUAGAAUAAAUUGCUUCUCAUAUCUAAAGUAAACUACAAGAGUGAGAGGUCAAAGAAACCCGAGAUAGCACAUGCACGUCAUAGUCUGUUUGGAAAUAUUUGGGUAGAAUAAAUUGCUUCUACUUCCUCCGUUCCUAAAUAUAAGUCUUCUUAGAGAUUUCAAUAAGAACUACAUACGAAUGCAUAGACAUAUUUUAGAGUGCAGAUUCACUCAUUUUGCUCAGUAUGUAGCCCGCAUUGAAAUCUCUAAGAAGACUUAUAUUUAGGAACAGAGGGAAUAGUAUGUAAAGUGAGCUAGGAAUUUUGAGGGAAGCAAGAGUGAGAGGCCAAAGAGAAAUCGAGAUAGCACAUGCACGUUAUAGUCUGUUUGGAAAUAUUUGGGUAGAAUAAAUUGUUUCUUCUAUGUAAAGUAAACUAGGAAUUUUAAGGGAAGCUAGAGGUAGAGACCAAAGAAAAACCGAGAUAGCACAUGCAAGUCUUAGGGCAUAUCACAUUAUCAGCCUAAGAGCACUGGUUUAAAUCAUGCCACGUGGUAUAUUCGUGAUGUACACUUACCUCGAGUAGACCUCAAAGGCACAAACAGCAGGGUUUUGCUAAUAAGUAUACCAUGUUUCUUUGCAAUUGCAUAGGCAUACUUACAUUCAGUAAAUGAUUUUCUAGCACUAGCAACACUUUCACUGAUUCACUCCUAUCUCAAAAGCAUAGACAAAAAUACAAAACUAACUGGGCACCGGGUUAUUUCUGUUACUAUGCGGUACCUUUUGGUUUAACACUGACAGCCAAAGGGGGGCGAUCAAUUUGCAUAUGCUGCGGCGGCGGCACCCCACUGCUGCCAUUCGAAAUCUUCCUGGGUGGAUCCUGAGAAGGAAAAAGAAGGUGUGAGGUAUCGCAGAUGCAAAUUUGACCAUUCUUGAACUGCACUGUUGAAAUACUUUGUUAUCCUUCAUACUCCAUGAACAUGAAACAAAGUGAAAAUCGAGUAUAAUACAUUCCCCCUGGUGCUAAAGAUUAUAAGAAGAGAACGGUAUCUCAACAAAGCUAACAGCCUAACACACAACAGACACUACACCAAAAAAAAGUUUGCCAUUCCAUGAACGUCAUAUGCUUAAUUCCGAGUAGAAUCUUCACACCACGAAGCGCCAUAAACGAUGAUGACUAGACAUCACGAAGGUCGCCAUCACGGAACAAUACAAAUCUACUACUACAAAAGAGUCGACAUCGUGGAUAAAAGGGGUAUGGCAGCACAUCCAACCUGUACCGCUACUUUGACGGGGACUGGAUCGACAGCGCCACCGCCACCACCGCCACCAAUCGGCUCCACGGGAUCGAAUGAAUGAAAGACGACCUCCUAAAUCCAUACAAAAUAAGAAAAAAUCAGCACGAAUCGCCCACCGGCCGCGCUCCAACCGCAAUAAAGGCGGAAACAACCAGUGCCACACCUGUCGGCGCCGCUCGUCCGUGGUCACGUAGCCUGCAUCGCAAACCAGUCAAAAGGAGGCGGUUAAUAAUCCAGAGAACUCCAGAUCCACCCGGAGGCAGGCGCGCGCGCGCAUCCGCGCCGCAUUCGCCGAACCCCCAAUCGGGGGAAGAGAGGGAGAGGGGAGAGAGAGGGAGAGGGAGGGGGGCGGGUACCGGUGGGGGCGCGGUCGAAGAUGAAGGCGAGGGGCACGAGCAGGGAGCAGAGGACGAGCGCGAGCAGCACCAGGCGCGGGCCCCUCCGCCUCUGCGGCGGCGUCGCCUUCAUCGGCUCCGGUCCCCGGCGGCGCGUCUACUGGUCAUCGCAGUGGGGGUCGGCGUGGUCGGUGCGGGCCAGCGGGGAUGCUUCGAGUUGGGCGACGCGGUUGCGGGGUUGGGAGGGNNNNNNNNNNNNNNNNNNNNNNNNNNNNNNNNNNNNNNNNNNNNNNNNNNNNNNNNNNNNNNNNNNNNNNNNNNNNNNNNNNNNNNNNNNNNNNNNNNNNNNNNNNNNNNNNNNNNNNNNNNNNNNNNNNNNNNNNNNNNNNNNNNNNNNNNNNNNNNNNNNNNNNNNNNNNNNNNNNNNNNNNNNNNNNNNNNNNNNNNNNNNNNNNNNNNNNNNNNNNNNNNNNNNNNNNNNNNNNNNNNNNNNNNNNNNNNNNNNNNNNNNNNNNNNNNNNNNNNNNNNNNNNNNNNNNNNNNNNNNNNNNNNNNNNNNNNNNNNNNNNNNNNNNNNNNNNNNNNNNNNNNNNNNNNNNNNNNNNNNNNNNNNNNNNNNNNNNNNNNNNNNNNNNNNNNNNNNNNNNNNNNNNNNNNNNNNNNNNNNNNNNNNNNNNNNNNNNNNNNNNNNNNNNNNNNNNNNNNNNNNNNNNNNNNNNNNNNNNNNNNNNNNNNNNNNNNNNNNNNNNNNNNNNNNNNNNNNNNNNNNNNNNNNNNNNNNNNNNNNNNNNNNNNNNNNNNNNNNNNNNNNNNNNNNNNNNNNNNCGCCAGGGGGAGGGGAGGGGAGGGAGUGAAGCGAGUCGGGGACGAGGGGGGUGCCAGUGUGGCGUGGGUGGGUGGGCCGCCGUGCGUGCGGCACAUGUGCCACAUGGGCCUCGUGUCAUCGUCUUUGCCAAAUUGCCAGCGAAGGUCCGCUCCGAUUGAAACGGGUCGUGCGCCAGGCUGCCAGCGAAGGCACCAGGAACCAACUCAGUUCCCUACAGUUUCCCAACAACAACAAAAAAACUCAAACCCUUAAAUCUUCUAAAAAAACUUGAUUCCUAAAUCUUCUAAAAAAACAUUUCGCGCGAUGGAGUGUGUAUUGCUCAAGAGCUCAAAAGUCCAACCCUACACAUGCUAGGGACAUUGUCCGGACCAGAGCGAAGCCAAACAACAGUUGGAUCCUCCGUCCUAUUAAAAUUUGCAAGGAAAUGGCCAGCAUUAUAUUGCUCUCUACGAGUAUGAGUAACAUUGAUUCCAUUUCUCCCAUGGGUCCCUUCACCUCGUGCACAUGGCAUAUUGAGAUUUGUCCUUGGCUUCCAAGUUCGCCAUAUUCACCCCUUGCGGGUAGUUAAACUCGAGAAUGACCGGACGAUCAAUUGAUAGCAAGGAUAGCCCUUUCAUCAUUCCAGCCAAUUCAGCUUGCAAAGCAUCGGCGCAAGACCAUAAUGAGCGGCAAGCCGAGAAGGUAAUGACACCAGCAUGGUCUAGAAGGAUCAUCUCGGCACCCGCACUUCCAUCUCCAGUAGAGAAAGAUCCGACAUUGAGCUUAACCCAUCCAACCAAAAGGGGGCUGAUUUCAUGUUAGGAAACGUAGCAAUAAUUCAAAAUUUUCCUACGUGUCACCAAGAUCAAUCUAGGAGAUACUAGCAACGAGAGAGAGGGAGUGCAUCUUCAUACCCUUGAAGAUCGCUAAGCGAAAGCGUUCAAGAGAACGGGGUUGAUAGAGUCGUACUCGUCGUGAUCCAAAUCACCGAUGAUCCUAGCGCCGAACGGACGGCACCUCCGCGUUCAACACACGUACGGAACGAAGACGUCUCCCGCGCCUUGAUCCAGCAAGGAGGAGGGAGAGGUUGAGGAAGAGAGUCCAAUAGCAGCACGACGGCGUGGUGGUGAUGGAGUGGCAGUUCUCCGGCAGGGCUUCGCCAAGCUCACGCGGAGGAGGAGAGGUAUUGGAGGGGAGGGGCUGCGCCAGGUGCAAGGGUGUGGCCGCCCUCCCACCCCUCCACUAUUUAUAGGUGGGGAGAGAGGGGGCCGGCCCCCCUAGAUCCCAUCUAGGGUUGGGGGCGGCGGCCAAGGGGGGAGGAGUGCCUCCCAAGUCAAGUGGAGGCCCUCCCUAAAGGAAAUAUGCCCUAGAGGCAAUAAUAAAGUUAUUAUUUAUUUCCUUAUAUCAUGAUAAAAGUUUAUUAUUCAUGCUAGAAUUGUAUUAACCGGAAACAUAAUACAUGUGUGAAUACAUAGACAAACAGAGUGUCACUAGUAUGCCUCUACUUGACUAGCUCGUUAAUCAAAGGUGGUUAUGUUUCCUAACCAUGGACAAAGAGUUGUUAUUUGAUUAAUGGGAUCACAUCAUUAGUUGAAUGAUCUGAUUGACAUGACCCAUUCCAUUAGCUUAGCACCCGAUCAUUUAGUAUGUUGCUAUUGCUUUCUUCAUGACUUAUACAUGUUCCUAUGACUAUGAGAUUAUGCAACUCCCGUUUGCCAGAGGAACACUUUGUGUGCUACCAAACGUCACAACGUAACUGGGUGAUUAUAAAGGAGCUCUACAUGUGUCUCCAAAGGUACAUGUUGGGUUGGCGUAUUUCGAGAUUAGGAUUUGUCACUCCGAUUGUCGGAGAGGUAUCUCUGGGCCCUCUCGGUAAUGCACAUCACUUAAGCCUUGCAAGCAUUGCAACUAAUGAGUUAGUUGCGGGAUGAUGUAUUAAAGAACGAGUAAAGAGACUUGCCGGUAACGAGAUUGAACUAGGUAUUGGAAUACCGACGAUCGAAUCUCGGGCAAGUAACAUACCGAUGACAAAGGGAACAACGUAUGUUGUUAUGCGGUCUGACCGAUAAAGAUCUUCGUAGAAUAUGUAGGAACCAAUAUGGGCAUCCAGGUCCCGCUAUUGGUUAUUGACUGGAGACGUGUCUCGGUCAUGUCUACAUUGUUCUCGAACCCGUAGGGUCCGCACGCUUAAGGUUACGAUGACAGUUAUAUUAUGAGUUUAUGCAUUUUGAUGUACCGAAGGUUGUUCGGAGCCCCGGAUGUGAUCAUGGACAUGACGAGGAGUCUCGAAAUGGUCGAGACAUAAAGAUUGAUAUAUUGGAAGCCUAUGUUUGGAUAUCGGAAGUGUUCCGGGUGAAAUCGGGAUUUUACCGGAGUACCGGGAGGUUACCGGAACCCCCCGGGAGCUAUAUGGGCCUUAAUGGGCCUUAGUGGAAGAAGAGGAGAGGCAGCCAGGGCUGGGCCGCGCGCCCCUCCCCCCUAGUCCGAAUAGGACAAGGAGAGAGGGGGUCGGCGCCCCCUUCCUUCUCUCUCUCUCUCUCUCUCUCUCUCUCUCUCUCUCUCUCUCUCUCUCUCUCUCUCUCUCUCUCUUUUCCCACCUCGCGAGUCCUAUUCCAACUAGGAUUGGGGGAGAAGUCCUACUCCCGGAGGGAGUAGGACUCCUCAUGGCGCGCCCUAUGUGGCCGGCCGGCCUCCCCCUCUUGGUCCUUUAUAUACAAAGGCAGGGGCACCCCAGAGACACACAAGUUGAUCCACGUGAUCUUAUUCUUAGCCGUGUGCGGCGUCCCCAGCCACCAUAGUCCUCGAUAAUAUUGUAGCGGUGCUUAGGCGAAGCCCUGCGACGGUAGUACAUCAAGAUCGUCACCACGCCGUCGUGCUGACGGAACUCUUCCCCGACACUUUGCUGGAUCGGAGUCCGGGGAUCGUCAUCGAGCUGAACGUGUGCUAGAACUCGGAGGUGCCGUAGUUUCGGUGCUUGAUCGGUCGGGCCGUGGAGACGUACGACUACAUCAACCAAAUGCUUCCGUUAUCGAUCUACAAGGUACGUAGAUCACACUCUCCCCUCGUUGCUAUGCAUCACCAUGAUCUUGUGUGUGCGUAGGAAAUUUUUUAAAAUUACUACAUUCCCCAACACUCCCCGUUAGGGUUUCCCCUCUCCCAUGCGCAUGGGCCUUGGGGGGCUGGUGCCCCUGGCCCAUUAAGGCUAGGGAGCCCUCCUUCAUCCCAUUCUGCCGUAUUGGACGUGGUGGAACAUUUUCCGGACCUCCGGACCACUCCGGAAUCCUUCGGAACCUUCCGGAAGCUUCCCGGUACAAUACCGGAAAAAACCGAACUUUUCCUGGAACCCGAACAACAACUUUCCAUAUAUAAAUCUUUACCUCUGGACCAUUCCGGAACUCCUCGUGGCGUCCGGGAACUCAUCCGGGACUCCGAACAACAUUUGGUAAUCACAUACAAGUCUUCCUAGUAACCCUAGCGUCAUCGAACCUUAAGUGUGUAGACCCUACGGGUUCGGGAACCAUGCAGACAUGACCGAGACAACUCUCCGGCCAAUAACCAACAGCGGGAUCUAGAUACCCAUGUUGGCUCCCACAUGUUCCACGAUGAUCUCAUCGGGUGAACCACGAUGUCGGGGAUUCAAUCUAUCCCGUAUACAAUUCCCUUUGUCAAUCGGUACGUUACUUGCCCGAGAUUCGAUCGUCGGUAUUUCAAUACCUCAUUCAAUCUCAUUACCGGCAAGUCACUUUUACUCAUUCCGUAAACACAUCAUCCCAUGAUCAACUCUUUGGUCACAAUGAGCUCAUGAUGAUGUCCUAUCGAGUGGGCCCAGAGAUAUCUCUUCGUCACACGGAGUGACAAAUCCCAGUCUCGAUUCGCGCCAACCCAACAGACACUUUUAGAGAUACCCGUAGUGUGCCUUUAUAGCCACCCAGUUACGUUGUGACGUUUGGCACACCCAAAGCAUUCCUACGGUAUCCGGGAGUUGCACAAUCUCAUGGUCUAAGGAAAUGAUACUUGACAUUAGAAAAGCUUUAGCAGACGAACUACACGAUCUUGCGCUAUGCUUAGGAUUGGGUCUUGUCCAUCACAUCAUUCUCCUAAUGAUGUGAUCCCAUUAUCAAUGACAUCCAAUGUCCAUGGUCAGGAAACCAUGACCAUCUAUUGAUCAACGAGCUAGUCAACUAGAGGCUUACUAGGGACAUGUUGUGGUCUAUGUAUUCACACAUGUAUUACGGUUUCCGGAUAAUACAAUUAUAGCAUGAACAAUAGACGAUUAUCAUGAACAAGGAAAUACAAUAAUAACCAUUUUAUUAUUGCCUUUAGGGCAUAUUUCCAACACAUGGCAUAUUGAGAAUUUUCCUUGGCUUCCAAGUUCGCCAUAUUCACCCCUUGCGGGUAGUCAGACUCGAGAAUGACUGGACGAUCAAUUGAUAGCAAGGAUAGCCCUUUCAUCAUUCCAGCCAGUUCAUCUUGCAAAACAUCGGCGCAAGACCAUAAUGAGCGGCAAGCCGAGAAGGUAAUGACACCAGCAUGGUCUAGAAGGAUCAUCUCGGUGUUGGAAAUAUGCCCUAGAGGCAAUAAUAAAAGUAUUAUUAUAUUUCAAUGUUCAUGAUAAAUGUCUUUUAUUCAUGCUAUAACUGUAUUAUCCGGAAAUCGUAAUACACGUGUGAAUACAUAGACCACAAUAUGUCCCUGGUGAGCCUCUAGUUGACUAGCUCGUUGUGAUCAACGGAUAGUCAUGGUUUCCUGACUAUGGACAUUGGAUGUCGUUGAUAACGGGAUCACAUCAUUAGGAGAAUGAUGUGAUGGACAAGACCCAAUCCUAAGCUUAGCACAAAGAUCGUGUAGUUCGUUUGCUAGAGCUUUGCCAAUGUCAAGUAUCUCUUCCUUUGACCAUGAGAUCGUGUAACUCCUGGAUACCGUAGGAGUGCCUUGGGUGUAUCAAACGUCACAACGUAACUGGGUGACUAUAAAGGUGCACUACAGGUAUCUCCGAAAGUAUCUAUUGUUUUAUGCGGAUCGAGACUGGGAUUUGUCACUCCGUGUAAACGGAGAGGUAUCUCUGGGCCCACUCGGUAGGACAUCAUCAUAUGCGCAAUGUGACCAAGGAGUUGAUCACGGGAUGAUGUGUUACGGAACGAGUAAAGUGACUUGCUGGUAACGAGAUUGAACAAGGUAUCGGUAUACCGACGAUCGAAUCUCGGGCAAGUAAAAUACCGCUAGACAAAGGGAAUUGAAUACGGGAUUGAUUAAGUCCUUGACAUCAUGGUUCAUCCGAUGAGAUCAUCGUGGAACAUGUGGGAGCCAACAUGGGUAUCCAGAUCCCGCUGUUGGUUAUUGACUGGAGAACGUCUCGGUCAUGUCUGCAUGUCUCCCGAACCCGUAGGGUCUACACACUUAAGGUUCGAUGACGCUAGGGUUAUAAAGGAAGCUUGUAUGUGGUAACCGAAUGUUGUUCGGAGUCCCGGAUGAGAUCCCGGACGUCACGAGGAGUUCCGGAAUGGUCCGGAGGUAAAGAUUUAUAUAUAGGAAGUCCUGUUUCGGCCAUCGGGACAAGUUUCGGGGUCAUCGGUAUUGUACCGGGACCACCGGAAGGGUCCCGGGGGCCCACCGGGUGGGGCCACCUGCCCCGGGGGGCCACAUGGGCUGUAGGGGGUGCGCCUUGGCCUACAUGGGCCAAGGGCACCAGCCCCUAGAGGCCCAUGCGCCAAGAUAAAGGAAAAAGGGGAGAGUCCUAAAGGGGGAAGGCACCUCCGAGGUGCCUUGGGGAGGAUGGACUCCUCCCCCCUCCUUAGCCGCACCCCUUCCUUGGAGGAGGGGGCAAGGCUGCGCCUCCCCCCUCUCCCCUGCCCCUAUAUAUAGUGGAGGGAAGGGAGGGCAUCCAUACCUGAGCCCUUGGCGCCUCCCUCCCUCCCGUGACACCUCCUCCUCUCCCGUAGGUGCUUGGCGAAGCCCUGCAGGAUUGCCACGCUCCUCCAUCACCACCACGCCAUUGUGCUGCUGCUGGAUGAAGUCUUCCUCAACCUCUCCCUCUCUCCUUGCUGGAUCAAGGCGUGGGAGACGUCACCGGGCUGUACGUGUGUUGAACGCGGAGGUGCCGUCCGUUCGGCACUUGAUCAUCGGUGAUCUGAAUCACGACGAGUACGACUCCAUCAACCCCGUUCACUUGAACGCUUCCGCUUAGCGAUCUACAAGGGUAUGUAGAUGCACUCCCCUUUCUACUCGUUGCUGGUCUCUCCAUAGAUAGAUCUUGGUGUUACGUAGGAAAAUUUUUGAAUUUCUGCUACGUUCCCCAACACUCGGCACCCGCACUUCCAUCUCCAGUAGAGAAAGAUCCGACAUUGAGCUUAACCCAUCCAACCAAAAGGGGGCUGAUUUCAUGUGUUGGGACCAGCGAUCUGCACAUGUGAUAUAGGAUCCCCAACACCCGCUUCAUUUGAUCACCAUUUUGCCCUUUACAAAGCCGUCGUUUCGAUGUUGUCAUGCGUCUUGUGGCGCCUGCUUGUCAUGUGUGAUCUCAUUAAGAACGUGCUAGCACGGCCAUAAUACCUUCAGUAGGCAUUGGCGGUCAUCGUCCUAAAGGUCAGCGGCCACUUCGAACAACCACUUCAGCCUUGUGUUCCGUGGCUUGGAGACAUCUGGUAGAAUCCAAACUUGCGCCAUAGCUCGCCAUAAGUCCACGGCACACGCGCACCUGCAGAAGACAUGGUAUGUGGUAUCAAACUUUCUAGCCAAGAGUAAGAGAAAAAUUGCGCACCCCAUCCUACUAUUUCUACUCUGUCAUCACACCUUUUGGACCAAAGAAACUGCCACACGGUUAUUUUUGUUGAACUUUAUGCCAUAGAAAUUGGUAUAGAAUGGCAAAGGGGCCGAGAAACGGGUGAAUCUUAUUCUCCCCUUUAGCAAAGAAUAGUUUAUAUUGGCAUGGCCCAACAAGCUCAAGUGACGGCGAGGCCAGGAAGUGAUGAUGUAGCUCACUUUGUGUGUCAUCGUAAGUGGAGGCAAGAUGAGACUUAGAGGUGUGGGAGUGGAGCACAGUGCUGACACUUAAGAAGAAUCUAGCCUUGCGGGCUUAGAGCAUCUCCAGCAACCUUUGUAUAUUGGAUUGCCAAAAACUUGUUAUAGCAAGAAGAGAGACAAGAUUUACAAAGCCAACAUUUUUCUUUUCUUUUUUUGACUUGCUAGCCUUUCUAUAAUAUCAAUCCAAAACUAGAAUUGCCUCGUGGGCAUCUCUUCGAGCACCACCAGCGCGCCGGUGGCCACGGGGCAGGCGAGCUCGCCUCGGGCUCCAUGGAGGUUGUCGGGGGAAGGCUCCACACAUGCCAUAGGCAAAUGCAUGGGUGUCAGAGGAGCCGUCUUCUUUGCCCUCGGUGCGAAGGAAUCACGCAACGGACUCGUCUGCUUGCGAUUGGAAGGGGCGGUGGGGGCAAAGAUGGACGCGGUGAUAGCGGGGCCAUUGGAGGCGCCGGGGAUGGCAGUAGAGUGGCGGCCACAAACCUUAGCGACGGGACCAACCCUAGGCACCGCUGGGCCAUGGGCUUGGUCACGGCCGCGUCGGGAAGUGAAGGAGAAGGGUCGGUGCCAGGAGGGGGGUGGGGGUGGGAGGUCGCUCGUGGCCUCCAUGGCCGCUACGGCGGCGGGAGACUCUCUAGGUAGAGAAAAGCUUCUAAACAGAUGCUUUUUGUGUCGGCUUUACCAUCAUAUAACAAUAUUGAUUCAUAAGCCAAAUGCCGAAACAAAGAAACCCUAUCUACCCCUCUGUUCCUAAAUAUGUCUUUUUAAAGAUUUCAAAUGAACUAUCAAUAUAGAUGUAUAUAUACAUAUUUUAGAGUGUAAAUUCACUUAUUUUGCUCCGUAUGUAGUCACUUGUUCAAAUCUCUAGAAAGACAAAUAUUUAGGAAGGGAGGGCGUAGAAGUUUUUGUGACUUUUUUGCUAAAGUGAAAAAACUAUAAAAGCAUAAGUAAAAGCCCAAACAAACGGUGCCUUAGAGCAUAUCUAGCCGCGCCCCAGGAAGGCCUUCCCAGACGAUUUUUUCGCGCCGGCGCCGAAAAAACGGCCCAGUCGCGCCCCUAGGAGCCCGAUUUUCGCCGACCUGGGCCGAAAACAGUGUCGGCGGACCCAGGCCAAACACGGCGCACUGGGGGGCGCCCGGGGGCGCCGGGGCGAGCUGUUUUGGCGCGAAAAAGCCGCGGGCCAGCCGCGUCAGCGACACGGUGCCUCAUCUUCCCCCAACGGCCUCGGUUCCCGCGAGAAAUCAAUGGCAAGGCUGCCGCCGGUUAGCCUUGCCAUUGAUUCCUUACGGGCGGCGCGUCACGGAACGGCGCGCCGACGCCUCCCCUCCCUCGCACGCGUACACACGGGCGCGGCGCGGCUAUAUAGCCGGUGGCCUCACUCGCCUGUGCCCACACCAGCCCCACCCCUCGCCGCCGCCCAGCCCCUCCCUCUACCUCUCCCGAGCGCCACCGCCCAACCCCUCCCUCUCCCUUUCUACCUCUCCCGAGCCCGUCGCCAUGGCAGAGCGUUUUCCCGGAGACGAGGCAGCGGCCAACGGCUUCGUCCGCCGUUCGCUGCGCGAACAGGAGUCCUGGCUCCUGUUCCAGGCGAACAUCCCGGCGCCGCCGGACAUGUGCGCCGGGCCGACAGGGUGGAGACUCAGCGACGGGGGAGUGCCCAUUCCCCCGUUGUCCGACGCCGUGGCCAAGCCCAAAUACUUCGCCGAGGAGGUCGAGGUCGUACGCGCCUCCCUCACCGACGCCCAACUCUCCCUCCCCCGGUACACCACCGACAACCACGCGGCUUGGGCGGCGUACUUCGAGCGCCGCCAGCAGCAGCGGUUGGCGUCCACCAACGGCGCGCCGGUGGUCGGCGGCUAGAAGAACAGCGAGGGGCGCCACCUGUGGUGGGGCGUCCUCGGCCGCACACUCGAGGGCGUGCUGACGUACCUCGAGGGCGGCAACGACCCGCCGUUGGCGUACCCGGCGAGGGUGGCCGCCCCGGCGCACCACCGACGCGCCGGGCCAUGGGCGCCAAGGAGGUUCGGGUCCUCCUCCUCUUCUUCCUCCUCGCGAUCUUCCUCGCACUCCUCCGGUACUCCGGCCCUGCUCGGCGUCAAGGCCGAGCCCGCGGCGGAGACGCCGCUCGGCCGGCGCACUCGCAGCGUCGGCAUCGCCAUCAACGAGGGCGGCCGGCGCGCCUCCUCGUCGGCUCCUCCUCCGCGCUUCGUCAAGCCAAAAACGGAGCCGGGGCUCGCGCCGGUGAAGACGGAGCUCGACGACGACGACGCGGCCCUGGAAUGGGCGUGCAGGGACUCCAUAGUGAUGGAGAAGGAGCGCCAGUGCGCCGCCCUGUGCCGCUUCGCAGAGCGCCGACGCGGCCGCGACAAAGACGGAGUCGUCAUCAUCUGCGACAGCGACGACGACGACGACGCGCCGCCACCACCAGCCCGCGUUGGCGACGCCGGUCAGGGGUCCACCAGGGACGGCCGCGUCAAGGAGGAGAAGUCCGACUACGGCGGCGACGAUGGCGACUACUCGGCAUUCAGCCAGUUUCUUUUUUAGAUUAGUUAUCUAUUUUGCUAUGUAAUGAAAAUCCACGAAUAUGUCUAAUAUAUGCCCAAGUUUACCGAAAUUUAGUCGUGUUUAGCCGAACUUCGCCGAACUGUGCCAAAAUUUGCUAUACAAAUUUUAUUUUUAAACGCGCCUGAGAGCGGCCCUGAGGCCGGGCUCAAUUUUUGCGCCGGCUCACCCCAGGCGGCGAUUUUAGGCACUCCCAGCGGGGCGAAUGUGCGGGCUGCCAAAGGUGAUUCGGGCAGAGAAUGUUGAGGCAGAAUCGCGUUUGGGCGGUGGAGAGCGGCAACAGUAGUGACAUACACCACAUGCAGAACCAGGUGGAGAUGUGGUUAUCUUAAAAAAGAAAAACUGGAGAUGUGGUUAUCUGGGAAGCGGUUUGGGCAGGGCGGGGCAAUGCCGGUGGAAAAAAACCUCCGACAAUUCUAGAAAAUAAAAAGCGCUUUGCAGGAAAAGAUACCGAUAAAUAGGAACUCGCAUAUGAGCGAGUCUAGAAAGGGUCGAACCAGACUAGUGAUGAAAUUGUCCAUUCUACUACUCAGCUACGCUCACUUCCUUGAGUACCUACGUAUAUACACAACCAAAGAGCAUUUCCAUGGCAAGGCAAGCCCUCAAAAUAUGGGAACUGGGAUGCAGAGCGCCGUCAAGGUCCCAGAGCCCAAAAGCCAUAACCAACACCCACGCCACGAACAAGCCAAGAGCAGCAAAUGGCGCCAUCCUUCUUUCCCUUCCGCUGGUCACAGAACCAAGUAGCAGCCGUUCUUCAUGUACACCGCGAAGCUGCACCGGAGGCUCUCCAGCAUCUCGACGACGGAUUCCCGUUUCGACCCGCUGAAGUGCUUGACGGCGUCCUCCAAAGAAACCUGCAACGGUUUGAGAAUGCUCAGCACAAGUAAGGUUCUGGACUUCUGGUCAAAGAAUCUUCAGAGGGGAAUGGGAUGGCUUACCCCGUUGCGGCUCGCGGCCAGCUCAAGUAUAGCGUCCUCGGUUGCAACAUUUGUGGUGGUAGGUUCGGUCCCUUGCUCCUCUAUCUUUUGCAGCUUCAUUACUGGCUCAUCGGCAGAGAGCGGAGUUCCGUCGGUCUGGGAUCUCUUUGUCGAAGGGCUUGAAUCGCAGGUGCCUGAUAUGAUGACGGGGUCUCCCUGAUCACCCUUCUCCAGAGCUUCGCUGCCAUGGGAACAGGGUUUUGCCGACUCGGCUGUUUGGGCAGGAGACCCGUCAGUAGGACCGUUGCCAAAAGUCUUCUCUAACGCUCCAAGAUCAUCAGCUGCGAAGAAUAUCUUGAUCAUUUCGUAUGUUACCUGCAGUUGCCAUGCAGCAUUUCACCCAGCAGAUUAGUCAUUCCCUAAUGGUUUGGAUGAACAUACAAUGGGCUCAGAAGUGAUUCCUACGUUUGCUGAAGCUAUGAUCUACUUAAUCACACAGAAUGGCAUAAUGAAUAAUGGAAGAAGAAUUACAUUUUCUGGAAGCUCUUCUUUUAUUGGCUUCAACCUCUCACGUGAUCCAACCUUUGCAAUGGCAAGACGGAUCUGUGAAGCUAUCUCAGGGGUCAGUCCUGUCUCCUCAAAAAACCUAUUCCAGUUCAUCUCACAUCCAUCCCGAGCAGCAUCAAGUAUGUAUGAAAUAACCGUCUGCUCUUUUAUCGGCACUGCUCUGCGAAAAUGCUAGAAUGCACUAUCAUGUCAAGCUGCGAACUUCAGUUUAAGGUCAGUAGAAAACAAAAACGAAAACUAACUCACUGCAAUUUUCUUGAACGAGUAUUCCUGUUUCUGCCACAGUUCCCAUGAAGUAAAUUUGGCAUCACCCAAGUUUCUUGGAAGACUGUUGUUUACAGGUUUUGGAACUGACAUCAUAUCCUCUACUCCUGCUGAAUCAUCCAACGAAAGAUUCAACUGUUUUGAGAAUUGUGCGAUAUUUUGGACAAAAGUGCCACUGUAGCGCGAGAUGAAGUGCUGGAAACAAAAGGUCAGAUGUUAUGUGAGCAGAUGAGGGAAAAAAUAUGAUCACACUUUCUUGCAUAGUCCUUGUUACAGCAUAGCAUUUGCGAAGUAUCAUUACUAAGAGAUACCUGGUUUACACCAUCAAUAUUGGCCAGUCUGGCUCCAGUAGAAGGCCUAAUCUUUGCAAAGUGUCUUAGGGUCUGAUCACCACAUAUAGCAUAUCUGAAACAAUGGGAUUGGAGAGAUUCAAUUCAAUGACUGUUCCAAUACCUAAGUAGCAUAGAGCCCAAAAAAUGCCAUUUCAGAUUCAAAAUUUAACUCACGGUGCAGUUCCAAUAUCCUGAGCAAGUUUCAUCCUGACGUUCAAGAGCAUUUGGUAGAGUUUCAAUUCCUCCUGAAAGAAAAAACAACACCACAAACAAAAUCUCAAAUCAAAUGUACAAAGGAAGAAAACAGCAUUGUGUGAAAGAAAAAUGCACAACGCCUAAGUCAUUAAUGAGGAAAUCCGAUCAGGUCUACCUCAGAUAUCUUUUCAGAUUCUGCGGUGGUUAAAGGAUUUAAGCCCCCUUCUUUAUUCUGUGAACUACCCUGCUCCUCUUGCCCAAUCAUCUCUUCAGUCAGCUGCAAAACCAGUGGCGUUCCACCAUCGGAGAGAAACUUGACCCCUUUUGGACUAACACUAAAGAUGGACAUGCAGAGUUACUAUGGUGAUUACUUAAAGUCACCACAAUGAGAAGUACCAGCGAAAAAGAAUUCGGAGCAUCACUAGGACAAAACAGACAAAAUAAAUACUCAACAAAGCACCUGACCAAUCUAAAUCCAUCACUGACAGUCUCCUUUAAGUAACCUGCACAAAAUAACAAGAAAAAUAAAAAAAAGAUAGCACCGGUAAUAAUGAUGCCAGAAAUGCUUUGUACUGGCAGCUGAUGAAUGGUGUUUGCUCAGUGUAUCCAACAACAAAGUAAAUAUUAUACCACUUCAAGUGUAAAAUGUCCAGUUGAGAUGCUUGUGCAUGAUAGUAAGCUAAUAACCCCAUAAGAAAUCUGUGGUAAUUUACUACUCCCUCCAUCCGAAAAUAAGUGUCCUGACCUUAGUACAACUUUGUACUAAAGUUAGUGCAAAGUUGAGACACUAAUUUUGGGACGGAGGGGGUAUUACACAUUUAACACUAAGUCAAACAUCGCAAAAACUGCAUCAUCUCCCAAGAAAUUUCAUGAGUUUACUUUCAGUGAGGCUUAGGGCCAACCAAAACUGUGAUACUAUAUAGGAAGCCCUUCAACCUUAUUAAGUUUUCUCGAAAAAGAAGAAAACAAGCACGAGAUAAAGUCUGCACAUGAAGCAGGUAUUUUUGUGGAAUGCCUUGCUUUAGCCAAGAAGUGAAUAAUUGGUUGAGUAUACAGACUUCAUAACAGUACCAUGUGCCAUAAGCAGACUGCCAAGUGCUUUCCACCAGUUUGGCGGAUAGUCUUUUCCCAUCGCAUGCAUUGGAAGUUUAUCGUAGUUCUUCUCAAGUAUCUUUUUAACCUACAAAAAUGAGAAAGCACUUGUUAUACAACAUCUUUCUUUUUAAAAAUGCGGAAAAUAUCCAAGGUUGUUAAGAAAAAAAGUACUGCUGUGUGCAGUGUAGGUGCUGCAAACAUGUACAACAAUACACACUCCAAAACUGUUCAGCAAAGAUAUAUUUCAAAUCCCUUUACUAUCAAUAAUAAUGCCGCAUAUGGUUGCUCCCGACUAUCAGCGCAUAGACGAUCUCCAAUCAAGUUAAACUAGCCAAUGUAUGUGACAAACUAAGGAACAUAGCAAACAUCAAUGAUAGAAAAACUUACUCGUGAUCCACGGAGAACAUCAACUGGCAUAUUAAGGCCCCAGCGUCCCCCACACGACUUGACACAGGACAGCAAUAAGAAAGAUUCUUUUGACAAAUCCCUCUCAUUUUUUGUCCCUGUGCAAUUAUCACAGUUACCUGAAGAUUAAGGGCAUGUUGUAAAUCAAUGUCACGGUUGAGACAAGACUUGAUGUAGCAUGUGCCGAUAUAGCAAAGAAUAUGCGGGUAUUGGUACAACAAUACAACAUUUUCCUUACACAAAGUACAGGGAUACUGCGAGUAGAUAUGUAUUUACAAGAAGAAAAAUAAAACAUGCAUAGCAGCUGACAGACAGUGCUUUGUGUGGAAGGAGCUUUCUAGGUUUUGCAGUGACUUGGGCCUGUGAUGGGUUCUACUCCCUCCGUCCCAUAAUAUAAGACGUUUUUUUACUCUAGCGUAGUGUCAAAAAACGUCUUACAUUAUGGGACGGAGGGAGUAGUUGAAGAUGUUUGGCUUUGGGAAUACCGAAUACAUAAGGAUACUGUGUCCGGUGGUUUGUAACCUUCAUAAAAUAGAACUCCCUCAGCCUCUCCAUUUCCAAAUUAAUUGAUGUGCUGGUUUUGUACCAAGUCAAACUUCUCUAUAUUUUACAAAGUCCAUAGAAAAAUGUGCUAAUAUCUAUAACAUAAAAAAUAUAUUUUAUGAUGAAUCUAAUCACAAUAAUUUGGUGUUGUAGAUGUUGAUGUAUUUUUCUAUACUAGUGUGAUAUAAACAUACCACAGUCGGUGUAACGCUCUUCACCAAAGUACUGCAGCAGGGAUUUUCUGCGACACGUAGCAAGGAGGCAAUAUUUCUGUGCCGCCAUGAAGGAAUCCAUGAUGGCAUUCCUUUGAGUUGCCUGUAGAUGAGUAAGAACUAUACACCAUGAGAUAAUGAAACAGGUAAGCAGUACAAGGGAAUCAAACUGCAGCCGUGUAUGUUUAUCACUGAAGUGUGACAUGAAGUCCUGAUUGUGUGCCCAAUAUUUACAUACAUUUGUUGCUUCAGAACAAUAGAAGUCAGCUUUUGCAAAAUCACUUCUUUGGUAAUAUAGCCAGCACACUGAAGGCAGUCCAUCUCUUCCACAACGCCCACUUUCCUGGUAGUACGAUUCUAGGCUCUUAGGACAUCCAUAGUGUAUUACACAUCUAACAUCUGGCUUAUCAAUUCCCAUUCCAAAUGCAAUAGUUGCCACCAUCACAAGUACUUCAUCUCUAACAAAUGAUCUGCAAAGGGGAACCAUAAUUUAUCAUCAAAAUCACUACGUUGUGAAGCCAACAUUUGUAAAAGGCUGUAUGAGAACUCACUACACUUAAUGCCUCAUAUCUGUUAUAUUUUCUCGUUUGAUUACUUGCAAGAUCUAAAGCGUUAGUAACAGAACAUUAUCUUGGCAGUGUUUUGUAGUGUCAGAUCAGAUAAUAACCCUCGUGAGUUGUAAAUCAUAAGAGGUAUAAAAUGGCUUGAUCCAGUAUAUUUACUGGCAAAUCAUUCUUUAGAUGAAGUGUUUAAAAUGAACUCAGAAUGGUACUCUGAGCAUUCAUCAAUUCAAUCUGCUUAAGGAAUUUGGUUUGUCCAAAACAAAUUGAGAAGGAAAGAAGAGACGAUGAACAGCCAAACAAAAAAGUUGGCAUGUGCAUAGAUGGCAGACCUAUGGGAUUCCUCUCUAGCUUUGCUACCCAUUUUACCAUGGUAAAUGUUAGCUUUGAUUCCAGCAGUGAUCAUUGCUUCAUGUACCUGACAGAGAAAAGUCGCAUUUAGCACAUUAACUAGCUAAAUACAUGUGUGUUGCUACAGAAUUUAAAUGCUUGUGCAUUUCUAUAGAAGCAUUUUCUAUUGCAUGAGUUGUUUAAACACUUAUAUAAUUAGUCCCUAACUUUGUGCAAAUGAAAAAAUAUCUCGAAAUAUACAUCAAUCAAAUCAACUAAUCAAAAGAUCAUGAUAUCUGUCUACUACAUAGAAUGUAAGAUAAUUGCAGUAAUUAAUCUUUUUACCAACUUAAUAGGAAUUUGUGAGGGUCGAUGGACCGACACAAUCCAGAUCAUUAUAAGUAUAAAGAUAAAGAUAAAUCAAUCCUAGCGUAAUCUAAUAGGCACAAGGUAUAUGUUAAAAGCAGCUUCUACGAUCAAAACUGGAGCCCAGAAAUUCCCAUAUUACUCCAAGAAAAAUGUAUAUAAACCUAUAAUUGUGUAUCUACAUUACGUACAGUACAGAUCUAAAUGUGUGUACCCAACAAAAGUUUGACUACUCUCCAAAAUCUGUUACAUCAGUCAGAAGAAGAAAAUGCCUGAUACUAUCAAUCAUCAACAGAGAAGUAUCCCAUACUUAUUUCAAGCUUAUUAUUUUUCUCCAAAAAAGUCUUACUGAGUCAGCAUGAACUUAAUAUUUUCCUAAAGAAUUUAAAGACCACACAGCUCCCACUUACAAGCAGCCAUAACCGUGCUUGUGUACCAGUUGCCUCAAAAUAUAGAAGAAUGAAAAUGUACAACGCUGGAAAAUACAAACCUGUUCAGUAUCCCGGAUGGUGGUACAGUAAAUGAUUGUUGAGCCACCAACAGUGCAGUUCUUUGAGACAUCUUUCACAAGUUCACUGAUAAAGGACAUAGAUCGGUUGUAUGAUUUCACACCGUAGAAAAGGUUAGGACGAUCAAAUGAUCCGAUUGCAACGUGAGGAUUGCUCAGGUUCAAGGAAUUGGCAAUAUCUCCACGGACCCUGGAAAAUCAAAUUGGAAGUUACCACAAAUUUGGUACAGGUAGAAAAGGGAUAUAGACACUCUGGAAAAUAAAUAAAACAAGUAAGCAAUCAUCAUAGUGAGCAAAAAUAUUUAUGGUAAUAAUAUGCAAGUAGCUACAACAAGCAGAGGAAAGGCAUUACCAUUGGAUAUCAACAAAAGCAGGAUAAACAGGUAAAAACAACUGAUAGUGAAACAUCCAUACCUUUCUGUGGCUGUCGCAGUUAGAGCAACGAAGGGAACACCCAAAAGGUGCUCACGCAAUAAAUGCAGCUGCUUGUACUCCGGCCUGCAUACAACAGAGAGAAUUACAAACAGUAAUAAGAGAGAGAACUGCAAUGAAGAAAAGAAGCUAUAAGUAAUAAGUACUCCCUCCGUCCCAAAAUAUAAGAACAUUUUUGACACUAUGAUUGACACUAUGAUUGUGUCAAAAACGUUCUUAUAUUUUGGGACAGAGGGAGUAAUAGACUGACUGGUCGCUAAGUUUGAUUGCAGAAUUUAAGGUUGAGAGAAACCGAGCGAGAAUUGAUGGGUGAUAUGAACUGACUGCUUACAUUUGACAUCAGCACACACAGACUUUUUGAAAUACAUGCAUAAGACAUAUCAAAAAUUUAAAUGAAAGUAAAUUAUCAGCCCUUUUGCUGAAGAAAUAAUUCACACAAUAGAAGAACAAAUGACCUGAAAUCAUGACCCCAUUCCGAUAUGCAAUGCGCUUCAUCAAUGGCGAACAAGCAGAUUCCGGAAGCUUGCAAGUUACUCCAGAACCUGGAUAGAAGAUUGAAAACUGUAAAUCAACAGACCCACCGCCAUAUUAUUAAAUUCUACAAGGGACCAAAGAAGACACAUGAGCAGUAAUUUGCAGCUUCGUAAGUGUGUGCCUUCCAUCUCAGCCAAAUAAUUGAUAAUUAUAGUUUUGUAAGUGCUGCAAACUAUAAGUCAAUAACGACCAUAAUCUGUUUUUAUAUCACAGGAUUUUCACCUUGAAGGAAGUGCAAUAGCUUUCUCAGGGGUCAUGUAGAGAACAUCAUACAUGCCUUUUUCAGCCUCACCGCUAACAGAGCUAUUCAUUUGGGUGCUGCCAAGAUACUCAGAUCUCACACCAUGUUGUUUUAAACUCAUGACCUGUUUGAAGUAAAUGAGACCCACAAUAAAAGAUUUCAUGUCAAAGCAAACCCAGAAUGAGGAAAGCACCAAAAAUGUUAUACUGUAUCUAGCAAUCAUACCUGAUCUUGCAUCAGUGACAGAAGAGGGCUGACAACAACAGCUGUCUUCUUUGCAACCAGUGGAGGGAUUUGAUAGCUGCCAUGAAAAGAAUUGCCGUGAGAAAAUUAAGUUUCCGACAUACAAGGGGAAGUAAUAACAUCAAAAUUUUAAACAGAUGCAUAUUUCUUUUACUUCCGAUGGCCUGCAAAUGUUUAACACAUUUUCAGGUCCUUAACUAAAAAAAUCAGAAACUUCAAUAAUUUUUCUUUUGACACGAUGACAAACACACUGCCCAGUUUCAAGAAAGAACCACCCUCACCCAUUUAAAAAAAAGGUCAAUAAACGAUUGUGCGAAUAGAACAUCCACUAUAUAUAUAUAUAUAUAUAUAUAUAUAUAUAUAUAUAUAUAUAUAAACAAACAAAAUUCUUCCCCGGCAGUUCCCUGCUGGGUACAUACAAUCGACAAGCUAGCAGUCGCCAUAACAGAGAUGGGAUGCUUAUACAUGACCACCCGUUUAUCAAUGUUAUAAAAAUGUCACCAAAAUGUGAAACGAUGGCACAUACUUCGCAAUCUCUGACCAUCAACCAACUCCACUGGCACAAAAUAUAACUUAUAAUCAUGCUCGGCAAAGCUCUCUUAGCCUCACACUGAUCCGAUGACAAGUUGGAAUACUAGAUGAGUUUGGAUACUCCGUUGACGAUGAUUUAACCACUUUAUAGCUUACAGAAUCCCAGCAUUUAUCACCAAAAUGACUACAUUUUCUCCCAAAAACAGUAAUGCAGAUCAGACUCUCCAAAACAAUUUUUAGCAAUCCAACCAGCGGAAUCGCUGGAGCGCAAAGCAGAGCACUGCCAAGGGAUACAGCACAACUAAUAUAUCCACCAAAUGCAGCGCCCAAACCUAGAUUCAGCCACUGCAGUGCUCAACCUGCAGAUCCACCCACUUCCACACACACACUAAACAAAAAAAGGAACAGCGCCUAGCGCCAUCCUCCACAACCGCAACCAAGCAAAAUGGAGCGCGCGAGCAGGCGUGGGGUGGGGUUUGUUCACUUACCACAUGGACUUGCCGCUGCCGGUGGCCAUGACGACCAGGCAGUCCCGCCCUUGCAAGAUCGUAUCCACGAUCUCCCGUUGGUACGGCCGGAACCCCGUGUACCCGAAGUACCUCUGCGACCAGAAAACAGACGCAGAUUAGAAUGGCGCGCCUCGGGGCCUAGGGUUUAGGCGCCGGCUAGGGUUUAGGGGGGAGCGGGCGGGGAGGAUACCUUCAGGGCCGCCUCCAUUGCGGUGCCGGNNNNNNNNNNNNNNNNNNNNNNNNNNNNNNNNNNNNNNNNNNNNNNNNNNNNNNNNNNNNNNNNNNNNNNNNNNNNNNNNNNNNNNNNNNNNNNNNNNNNNNNNNNNNNNNNNNNNNNNNNNNNNNNNNNNNNNNNNNNNNNNNNNNNNNNNNNNNNNNNNNNNNNNNNNNNNNNNNNNNNNNNNNNNNNNNNNNNNNNNNNNNNNNNNNNNNNNNNNNNNNNNNNNNNNNNNNNNNNNNNNNNNNNNNNNNNNNNNNNNNNNNNNNNNNNNNNNNNNNNNNNNNNNNNNNNNNNNNNNNNNNNNNNNNNNNNNNNNNNNNNNNNNNNNNNNNNNNNNNNNNNNNNNNNNNNNNNNNNNNNNNNNNNNNNNNNNNNNNNNNNNNNNGGGGAAGGAAGGGAGGGGGGCGAGGGGAUUGGAAUGGGACGGACGGGUAGUUGUGGGCGGCGAGGUGGGGGGUUUGGGGAAGGGGUUUUGGUUUGCGGCGCUCUUUUAUCUGCGUUCCCGCCAAUUAGCUUUCUUUUUUUUUUCUCUCGUGGACUUUUAGCGGGCCUGGUUUGGCUCGUCUUUUGGGCCGGCAGGGUCUCGGCGAAAGUAUGCGUGGUCAUGUAGCACAUGGAGUUUGCCUAAAAAAAAUUUGUAGCACAUGGAGUAACCCUAAAAGAAAGGUAGCAAAUGGAGUUGGACGCCCCUACGUCUCACUUAUUGCGAGACUUUUUUUUACACACAAACAACGCGGUUUAUUCCGUCGUAUGAAAGUUUACAGGGAUACAAAAGUUUUCAAGGGGAGAGUAAACCAGAUAUGUCAUCCCACAUCUAGCAAGGACGCCAUGCAGGCAAGUCUAUGUGCCUCUCCAUUGCUGUUGCGUCGUUCAAACUUGAAAGUGCAUGACGCAAACGAAGCACUUUGCUUCUUCAUCUCUUGGAUUAUCAUGCAAUGUCCAUCCAUAUUCUUUGCAUCUUUGAAUUCCCGAACGGCUCCCGGGCAGUCCGAUGAAAUUUGCAUCCUCGCGUGAAGGGGAGCCCCAGAUGGGCCUACCCAGGCGCAUGCGAGGCCGAAGCCUCUUUUUUUCCUGUUUUUUUAACAUUUUCGGUUUUCUUUUUUGCUUUCUUUUACCAUUUUAUACUUUAAAAUAUUAAAAUUUACAUACUUUAAAAUGUUAGCCAAGCAUUUAAAAAAAUGUUAAAUGUGUAUAGAGAAAAUGUUUAUCAAAUAUACGAAUAAUGUAACCCCAAAAUACAAUGUUUAUGAAAAACUUUGACCAUGUAUUUUAAAAAUGUUACUUGAGCAUUCAAAAAAUGUUGAAUAAUUAUUAGAAAUUUUUUAAUCAAGUAUUUGAAAGAUGUUAAAUGUGUAUAUAAAAAUGUUGACCAUGUAUUUAAAAUGAUGACAAAUUUGUUAACUUUUAUAAAAAAAAUUGAUCAAGCAUUUGAAAAUAAAAUUUGAAUACAUAUUUGAAAAUGGUAAUCAAACAUUUGAAAAAUGUUAAAUGUCUAUAUAAAAAUGUUGACCAUGUAUACACUGCGGGCGUUUUUUGCCGCAACCUGCAAAUUCGGCCCCUCAAAUGCCCGCGGACACGAAUGGGCCAGUCCGCAGACACUGGUCGAUCACCUCUCAAAUUUUCACUUUUCACAGUCAUGUCUCUCAUUUUUACCCUAUACAUCCGGUCACAUGCAUGUGAUUGGUGGAGAUAAAGUGAGAAAAAGAAAAGAAAGAAUAAACAAAGAGAAAGGGUGGGCCAAAACCUAUGUGGCGGAUGCAGGCGCCCGGGCGCACCUCAUACUCGUCCCAUGUAUGAGGGCAACAUGAGGAGUGUCGGACAGUCCGGGCAUUUAAGGAGGCUAUGAGGGGUCCAGUUGGGUCAACUUUUUUCUUCUCUCUCCUGUCCGGUCAGUGGGCCCUGGGUCUGCUCGGUUAAUAUGAGGAGUCCGGCUGUAGAUGCUCUAACGCUCUCAAAUUUUUACCACACCCUACAUGGGUCAAGUAAAUACACCAUGCCAGGUUUCACCCGUUCUGGAGCUUGUUCUCGAGACCCAUAAGGGUACAAAGGUAUAUUUUUUGCCUAUGUCGUUCAUGUAGGGAUUGAUGUGUGUGCAAUGUUAAUCUAUCAUAUAUAUAUGAAUGUAUGUUGAUUGUAUAUAUGCAACCUGUUUUAACCGUGAAAGUGAUACUUGUUUGAUAUACAAUAUGCAAUACCAGUCUAUGCUAAUGACGCUAGAAUAGUGAUGGUUUCAUGGUUUUCACUCGCUUGGGGAGGCUACUUGACAUUUUGAAUGCAAAUUUCAAGCCCGACAAGGUUGAUGGUUGAGUACUCAAUGUUACAACGUAAAGUGGGGCAUCACGUCUGGCACACGUUUUUGCCUCCGUCGCGCUGAGCUUUCGGGUUUUAGGCUUGAGAAAAGGGACAUUUCCAGGUUUUGGGUUAGCAUCAAGCCUGUAGUUCGAUAAUCCCUGAUGGGAGCCCAACAAUUAAGACAAAUUAAUUCCGUGGAUUUGUAAAGUUAUCUGAUUGGCUGCAAGUAUGCUUUGAAUUCUGUUUUAUUGUGAGCAAUUUUUUUUGUGAUUUCGUGCAUCUAAAACUUUGUUUUAUUUAUCGGAUAUAUAUCACAUAAAAGAUACGUGUAGAUAACGAUCGAGUACAGAUUGCAAAAAUUCAUCACGCAUUCACAUUGCUUCCUUGGUUCUUGGUACCAGAGAAAUUCUAUAAAGGCCGUUCUUGGUGUUCUACGUAGCCACAAAGAUUUCACAUUUCACAUAGAGAAAGACACAGGAGAGAAAAAUGAAGAGCAUGGCCACCACCAUAUAUGUCCUUGCCUUGUCACUAACCACCACCACCUUGCUCUUCACCGGCAGCAGUGCAUGCCAGCGUGAUCCGUUAAUGACCAUCGCAGCCGCAUGCCACCAGGUGAGCACAAGGCAACCCUUGUUGGAGCUCUGCAUGCUGCAUUUGAGAAUAGUGAGGUCACCAAGUAUGCCAAUAUUGUUGCGGGCACUACUGAAAGGAUCGACAUAGUUGACUAGAGGGGGAGGAUGAAUAGGCAACUAACAAUUUUUAGCUUUUCUUUACCAAAUUAAACUUUGCAUCAAAGUAGGUUGUCUAGAUGUGCAACUAUGUGAGCAACAUAUAUGAUGCAACAACAACGAGCACACAAGUAAGCAAGAGAAGUAACACUAAUAAGCUUGCACAAGUAAAGGUACGAGAUAACCAAGAGUGGAGCCGGUGAAGACGGGAAUGUGUUACCGAAGUUCCUUCCUUUUGAAGGGAAGUACGUCUCCGUAGGAGCGGUGUGGAGGCACAAUGCUCCCCAAGAAGCCACUAGGGCCACUGUAUUCUCCUCACGCCCUCACACAAUGCGAGAUGCCGUGAUUCCACUAUUGAUGCCAUUGGAGGCGGCGACCGGACCUUUACAAACAAGGUUGGGGCAAUCUCCACAACUUAAUCGGAGGCUCCCAACAACACCACGAAGCUUCACCACAAUGGACUAUGGCUCCGUGGUGGCCUCAACAUUCUAGGGUGCUCAAACACCCAGGAGUAACAAGAUCCGCUAGGGAUUGGUGGGGGAAUCAACUUUCUCUUGGUGGAAGUGUAGAUCGGGGCCUUCUCAACCAAUCCCGAGCAAAUCAACAAGUUUGAUUGGCUAGGGAGAGAGAUCGGGCGAAAAUGGAGCUUAGAGUAUUAAUGAAGCUUUUGGGGGAAGAGGUAAGUCAACGAAGAAGAAGAGGACCCCUUUUAUAGAAGGGGAUCCCAUCCAACCGUUACCCCCAAAACAACACCGCACAGGGCGGUACUACCGCAGGUGGCAGCGGUACUACCGCUGGACCCAGCGAUACUAUCGCUCCCCCUUGCGGUACUACCGCCCAGCCUGGGAGGGCUAGAAGAGAGAGCAGGAAAUGUGCCCAGUGUGGUAUUGCCGCGGUGGUAGGGCGGUACUACCGCUCUCGAGCGGUACUACCGCUUCUACAACCGCUGCAAAGUGCCGCUCAACCUGACACGAGAGGCGACCCCCUCGAGUCGACGCGGUAGUAGCCCGGUACCGCAGCGGUACUGCGGCUGAGAACCAUAAGCGGUACUACCGCUGGGUACCGCGGUACUACCGCUCGGACACAAAUCAUCACAACUGCAAGGGGAACGAGCUCUCUAGUUGAAGCGGAAAAGCUCAGAGGGUGAGAGAGGGAUGUGUAUGUGUUGAUUCCACCCAAGCCUUACCAAAGCAGACCCCCUCUUGAUAGAACGGUGACUCCUACGAAACUAGUCCACCAAACAAGAAACGAAGGAGCUACACCGUCUUGAAAAACACUACGAGGGGAAAGAAAUCGUCUCGUGCCAAAGGAUGAAUCUCUGAAAGGCUCAAAGCACACGGUUAGUCCGCAAACAUGUUGUCAUCAAUCACCAAAACUACAUCGAGAGAGAUAUGCCUUAACAAUCUCCCCCUUUUUGGUGGAUUGAUGACAACCAGGGAUUUGCACAGGGAAAAGACAUGAAAGUAAAGAUACUUAGAAUUACAAAAUAUAGACGGGCUCCCCCUGAAUGUGUGCACCUAGUUAGUAGUGCCUUUGGAAUGCAAGACACACACAUUAGGAUCAACACUCCCCCUAUAUUUUAUAGUCCAACAAUCUAAGCACAUGUUACAAGAGAGCAGGGUAUAUAACAGGAUAAGCAUGCAACUCAUAAGAUACCAAAGUACUAGAUAGACAUAGAUAAUGAUAAGAUAAAGAUAAGGUAGCAUAUGUCUCACACCAUAAGUUUGGAACUUAGGUCUUACUGGCACAAAACCAAACAAAGCAAACGCGAGAAAACACAACGACACCACAAACCACAAAGACACACUCGCAACAGCAACAACACAAAUCUCUAAACUCUCUCCCCCUUUGGCAACGAGACACCAAAAGGGCAAAGAGCGUUGCUAUGGCUCCAGGUGAUAGCAAGUUGAGGAUCUCGAACAUCACAUCCCAGUGGGAUCGUCUGCACCGCCAUCAUUGGUCGGAAACUGCUCUGUGUCUGAAUCGGUCCACUGGCAAUGCUGCUGAACCCACUCCUCCUCAUCAGUGAUCCUCUCCUGAGAUCCGCUGUUAACAGUGGCACCCAACUGGCGCAUGAGCUCCUUGUGACGUCUGCGGGCCUUCUUCUCAGAGACAUGAGACAUGUAUUGGCCAUGAGACUCCAUGCAGAAAAGUUUCUUCAUCUUGCGCUUAAUCCUCUUAGCCCAUGAGGGCUCCACACCGGAGGGCUCAUAGUCCUCAUCCUUGUCGGCCUCAGCCUCGUCCUCGGUCUCCAUGUCAGCCUCAGAAGGUGGAUCACUAGAUCGAGGGGCCUGGGUGCCCCAGUUGUUCUUCUUCCUCAGACGCUUGAUAUCAUGAGAAAUCAACUCUCUAGUUUUCAGCGCAGUCCUGGGAUAGUGAUGUGCCCAGACCUUCUCAAUGAGCAGCAUGAUGAAAGGACCAUAGAUCGGGCACUUGCGCUCAGAAAUGGCAGAAAGAAGUUCAGACCACAUAACAUGAGAAAUGUCCAGGGACUCUCCAGUGUUUGCUUCCUUCUCAUGCUGGCAGAAGAAAAGCAUGUCCACAAGAUAGGAGUGGACCAUAUCCAGAUUCCCAAUGCGAGGGAAAAGAGUCUCUCGGAAGACACGGUGAAGGAUGUCCAGAUAGGUAGACAGCUCAUAAGUUACCUUCUUUGUCUUGGGGUUAACCUUCUUAGAACAGUAGGGCCAAAGGGCUUGCUUGUGAGUGGAGGUGACAUUGCAGUGAGGACGGAAGCCGACUGGAUUCUCAAGCCCGUGAUCUUCCACCCCAAGUAACUCCAUGAAGGCCUUCCACGUGACAGUGAGCAACUUGCCAUUUGUCAUCCAAGUCAGAGUCCUUUUUGCAUCAGUUCCAAGAUGGACAGUGGCAUAGAAUUGGCAUAUCUUAUCGGCAUCAAAGUCCUUGCUGAACUGCAUGAUUCUGAGAAUGUUCAACUGAGUGCACAUCUGAAGGGCUUCGCCAAAAUACUCAGGGUCCUUUUCCAUAGGAUCGGUGUCGAUGGAACGAACAUCAACAAAGUGAUUCUUCUUAGCCUUGACCACAUCAAAGAAGAUGGCGAACUGAAAGCGGUUCCAGAACGGGCGGUUGACCAAAGUGGGAUCUUGGUCUUCCUCAUAGGGGUUGCGGCGAUGCUUUGCCCAAAAUUCCUUGGCAGUCAUCUCAGACAUAGUCUUUCCCUUUGGCUUGCUUGCCGAUCUCUUCGUGAGCUGAGGCGGUGGUGGAGCACUUGAGGUAGCACCCUCUGGCAGCGGUGGAGCACUAGUGGAACCACCUGCUGACUCAGAUGUGCGGUAGCGCUUUGACAUUGCACGACCAGGGUUGACACGGUGGACCUGCUGCUCAGGAUGAUCAUCACCUGGAACCAAACACACGAGCAGAAGAAACAACAUGAAAGAAAGAGCAUAAGCCACCAAACAAAGCAACAAGGAUCAAAACGUGGUAGGAAAUGAUGGAACUGGGCAUGUAGUGGUAGUACCGCGACCCAACAGUGACAGUACCGCUUGCGUGGUAGUACCGCUCAAGGAGGGCGGUAGUACCGCUCAAGACGAGGAACGACGGUUCCCUUAUUGCCGUGGAUAGAUCCGGCACUACAGGAGAUGCCAAAUUCAAAAAUAAGCCUACUGGCACAAAACGGUAAAACAAUGCCUAUUGCCCCUAAAAACUAGAUCCAAGAUCUAGGCAAAGAGAGAACGGGAUCGGGGGCAAUACCGGCAUCCAUGGCUAGAGGACGUGGUGGGGAUCGACUCCACCGGAGGAAAUGGAGAGGGACGGCAUAAAACGGCGGCCGACCGAGGCCUUCCUGCGGCAAGGCGUCGCUGGAGCGACGAAGAAGAUGAGCGAGUGGGGGCGAAUGGGUAUGGGGGAGAAAACAACUCCCCCUGCCCCGACAUAACCCCCAUUGCCCGCCCCGCAGCUGUAGUACCGCUGGGGUGGGCGGUAGUACCGCUUGACGCUUAUCAGCGGUAGUACCAUGCACACCACGGUAGUACCGCUCUACCGCAAAGAGGACUGGCCAAAAGGCUUAGCUCAAGAAAAAGAAAUCGAAACGAAAGCAAGAACCAACACACACACAAAACCGACAAAGACAAACAUCUCCAAGAGAGGGCGGUGGCCGAGGACACCUACGUUUGAGUUCAGAGGUAUGGCGCCGCGAAGAUUUUAACCUUGGGCCCAUGACCAACACUCAUCUUUGAAGCACAAGUACCAUAAAAAUGGCUAAUGUGAAAGAGUUUGAUUAGUUUAUGCAUUAUGGGGGGGUGGGGAAGUUCAUUGAGAGAACAACACUCCCCCUGUGUCCAUGCCUACACCUAAACUAGACAACAAGUUGAAUGUGAUGGGGUCUGCAAGGGUUCAAGUCACAUUGCUUGAAUCAAUGAUAUUUAGCUCAUGCCUUAACUCGCGAAAUAUUGCCUCAUCCAAAGGCUUCGUGAAAAUAUCUGCAAGGUUAUCAAGAGUGUUGACAUAGUUGAGCUCGAUCUCCCCUCGCCUAAUAUGAUCCCGGAUGAAGUGAUACCGAAUCUCAAUAUGCUUCGUCUUGAAGUGUUGCACCGGGUUGAGAGAGAUCUUGAUGGCACUUUCAUUGUCACACCAAAGAGGCACUUUGUCACAAAUGACACAGUAAUCCUUUAAAGUUUGCCUCAUACAUAGAAGUUAUGCAUAACAACUACCAGCAGCCACAUACUCCGCUUCUGUGGACGAGAGAGAUACACAACUUUGCUUCUUGGAAGACCAACUCACCAAAGAGCAACCAAGAAAUUGGCACACUCCGGAAGUGGACUUCCUAUCCACUUUGUCCCCCGCCCAAUCCGAGUCUGAAUAACCUACAAGCUUGAAGUUUGCUCCCCUUGGGUACCAUAAGCCAAAGUUUGGGGUAUGAGCCAAAUAUUGAAAGAUUCGCUUGACCGCCACAAAGUGACUUUCCUUAGGUGCGGCUUGAAACCAUGCACAAAUUCCCACACUCAACAUGAUAUCCGGUCUAGAUGCACAAAGGUAAAGCAAGGAGCCAAUCAUGGAGCGAUAUACCUUUUGAUGAAGGUUCCUUCUCUCCUUUGCUUCACUUCGAACCCGAGAAAGAACUUCAACUCUCCCAUGGAAGACAUCUCGAACUUUGAGGUCAUGAGAGCGGCAAAUUCUUCAUUGAAAGCUUUGUUAGGGGAACCAAAGAUAAUAUCAUCAACAUAUAAUUGGCACACAAACAACUCCCCUUUGACCUUCUUAGUAAAAAGAGUGGGGUCAAUUAGCCCAACUUCAAAACCACGGUCUUGUAACAACUCGGUAAGGUGGUCACACCACGCACGUGGGGCUUGUUUAAGGCCAUAGAGUGCCUUAUCGAGUUGAUACACAUGAUCGGGAAAGUAGGGAUCCUCGAACCUGGGGGUUGCUUGACAUAUACCAAUUCAUUAAUCGGACCAUUAAGGAAAGCACUCUUCACAUCCAUUUGUUGUAACUUAAAGUUAUGAUGAGAAGCAUAUGCAAUCAACAUGCGAAUGGAUUCAAGACGAGCAACGGGGGUAAAGGUUUCACCAUAGUCGAUACCCUCGACUUGGGAGUAGCCUUGUGCUACCAAACGAGCCUUGUUGCGAAUGAUAAUCCCAUGAGCAUCUUGCUUGUUCUUGAAUAUCCACUUGGUUCCAAUGACAUUGUGGUUCUCCGUUGACCUUGGCACCAAUCUCCACACUUUGUUGCGCUCGAAGUUGUUGAUUUCUUCAUGCAUGGCAUUGAGCCAAUCCGGAUCUUCGAGCGCCUCAUAGACCUUUUGGGGUUCAACACACGAGACAAACGCGUGAUGUUCACAAUAGUUUGCUAAUUGUCUACGAGUGCUUACCCCCUUUCUUAAGCUUCCAAGCACAUUUGUCAUGAGAUGACCCUUGGUGGAGAGCUUGGAAGUAAUCUUGGGGCACGACGCUCCAAUUCCUCCUCGGGGGUGAGACGAGGAGUGCUACCUCUUGAGCUUGCGUUGGAUUUCCCCGAAGAGGAAGGGAUGAUGCAGCAGAGUAGCGUAAGUAUUUCCCUCAGUUUUUGAGAACCAAGGUAUCAAUCCAGUAGGAGGCCACGCUCAAGUCCCUCGUACCUGCACAGAACGAUAGCUACUCGCAACCAACGCGAUUAGGGGUUGUCAAUCCCUUCACGGUCACUUACGAGAGUGUGAUCUGAUAGAUAUAAUAUUUUUGGUAUUUUUGGUACAGAGAUGCAAAGUGAAAAGUAAAAGGCAAAGUAAAAAAGCAAAGCAAGAUUAAAGUGAUGGAGAUUGAUAUGAUGAGAAUAGACCCGGGGGCCAUAGGUUUCACUAGUGGCUUCUCUCAAGAGCAUAAGUAUUCUACGAUGGGUGAACACAUUACUGUUGCGCAAUUGACAGAAUUGAGCAUAGUUAUGAGAAUAUCUAGGCAUGAUCAUGUAUAUAGGCAUCACGUCCGUGACAAGUAGACCGAAAUGAUUCUGCAUCUACCACUAUUACUCCACUCAUCGACCACUAUCCAGCAUGCAUCUAGAGUAUUAAGUUAAAAACAGAGUAACGCUUUAAGCAAGAUGACAUGAUAUAGAGAGAUAAAUUCAUGCAAUAUGAAAUAAACCCCAUCUUGUUAUCCUCGAUGGCAACGAUCACUACAAAAAGAAGACACAUCCGUGACAUUUUGGGCCGAACGAAAUUUUUUUCUGUCAUACAUAUGACACUUCUAUGACGAUAAUUGUGACAAAACCCGGUAUCAUCAUAGAUGUGGUGGGCUCCUACUUCUAUGACAAAAAAUCAUGACAGAAAAUGGGCUUUUCGUCCUGGACGGGCCGGAGACGCAGCUGCAUGACAUUCUUUGGGCCAUCCAUGACGGGAAAAACCGUGGUAGAAGCGAGGGGGAGGAAAAUUUCAGGGAGUUCCCGGUUACGGUGGGAGGUCGGGGGCCGAGCGAUGCGCGUUUCUCUUGUACACGUAUGCGCGUGUGUGCGAGGCGUUGGCUCUAACUGAACCCGAGCGAGGCGUUGGGCUCUAACUGAACCCGAGCGAUUGCACUGCAGGCUACGCGUUACUGAACCCGAGCGAGGCGUUGGGCUCUAACUGAACCCGAGCGAUUGCACUGCAGGCUACGCGUUACUGAACCCGAGUGAUCGAUCGAUGGCUGUUAAUUGAACCCGAUCGAGCGAUUCCUUGGCUACUACUACUAACUGAAGCCGAUUGAUGGGAUGAACAGUGAGUGUUGCGNNNNNNNNNNNNNNNNNNNNNNNNNNNNNNNNNNNNNNNNNNNNNNNNNNNNNNNNNNNNNNNNNNNNNNNNNNNNNNNNNNNNNNNNNNNNNNNNNNNNNNNNNNNNNNNNNNNNNNNNNNNNNNNNNNNNNNNNNNNNNNNNNNNNNNNNNNNNNNNNNNNNNNNNNNNNNNNNNNNNNNNNNNNNNNNNNNNNNNNNNNNNNNNNNNNNNNNNNNNNNNNNNNNNNNNNNNNNNNNNNNNNNNNNNNNNNNNNNNNNNNNNNNNNNNNNNNNNNNNNNNNNNNNNNNNNNNNNNNNNNNNNNNNNNNNNNNNNNNNNNNNNNNNNNNNNNNNNNNNNNNNNNNNNNNNNNNNNNNNNNNNNNNNNNNNNNNNNNNNNNNNNNNNNNNNNNNNNNNNNNNNNNNNNNNNNNNNNNNNNNNNNNNNNNNNNNNNNNNNNNNNNNNNNNNNNNNNNNNNNNNNNNNNNNNNNNNNNNNNNNNNNNNNNNNNNNNGUGGAGGGGUGGUUGAACAAGACCCCGUGGUGUGGAGGGCUGGAUGAACAGUAGAUGGUGGAGGGGUGCCCGUGGAGGGGUGGUUGAACAGGACCCUGUGGUGUGGAGGGCUGGAUGAACAGUAGACAGUGGAGGGGUGGUUGAACAGUAGCCGGUGGAGUAGCGCGCGGUGGAGGCUGGAUGAACAGGAGCCCGUGGAGGCUGGAGGAGGUCGACGGUGGAUGAACAGUAGCUCGUGGAGGCUGGAGGGGGUCGAUGGUGGAGAUAAACAAUAUCCCGUGGAGUCCCGUUUUGCGGUAUGCCACACCCCUCCCGAUGAACAGGACCCCCGUUUCGACCGUAGCGCUCCAACACAAGUCCGUUUCCUCCGUUUUGCGGUACGCCACACCCCUCCCGAUCAACAGGACCCCCGUUUCGACCGUAGGAGGUCCAUUUCCUCCGUUUUGCGGUACGCCACCCCUCCCGAUCAACAGGACCCCUGUUUUGACCGUAGGAGGUCAGUUUCCUCCGUUGUGCGGUACGCCAGGCCUCGUUUCCAUCGCCUCUUCCAUCCAAGCCCUCCCGAUGGACACGACCACGCAUUCCGUUCCGACCCAUGAACACGACGACGACAUUGUUUCUCCGUUCUGACCCAGCCAUGUACACGAGCCCUCGCCGUACGUAUGCGCGAGUAGGCGUUCGAGACCCCACCUGUAUGUACACAUACAUGGCCAUAUUUUAUUUCUUGCACCCUGGCCGCCUCUACUACGACACGUGUGUGCCUCUACAUCCACCAGUAUAUAUGUACGUACACGUUCGCGACCAGAAUGACAACACUACGUACGCUUCGACCAGGAGGGUCCAGACUGUCAGGAACUUCCUUGCCUGCGAAGAUGUAGAUGGUGGGUCCCAGCAGGCAGGGGGGUGAAAUACGGUGGCCCGUCCGGUGGGUCCCCGCUGUCAGGUGGAGGAAUAAUUAUUUUGCACGUAAUAAGGAGGCACUUCCUUGCUGCGGUCGUGGACCCAGCUGUCAGCCUCUCCACGUACAGUCCAUGUCCGAUGGAAGUCGUUCCUUGACCACGUUGACCACACCGCCCCGAGAGCACCAGGGCGGUGGACGAUGGCGAGGCCUAGGAAGGGGACGACGCGGAGCCGGGGAAGACGCGGCAGUGGAUGCCCACGCGUAGAGGAGUACGAGGGUUCACUGGUUCGCUGCGGUGUGAGGCUACCGUCGCCGCAGAAUAACAGGGGGUGUGGGUGAGUAGAGGGAUGGCCUGGCCAGCGGUGGGAGUAGUAGGGGGCGGUGAGGCCUCCGCCGCAUCGCAGCCGGCCAUGGGAGGCAGGAGCAUGAGGCACGACCGGCGCUGGUUUGGGCGGCUGGAGCAAGAAGACCUGAGGUUGAAGAAGCACUACGGUCGUUGGAUGGACAUCGUACGGUCACUGGAGCUAGAAUCGUGCAUAUUGACUAAGUUGACAAAGCCCUCCGUCCCCGUCAACUUAGUAGGCCCACAAGUCAGCCUCCCAGCAAGGUGGGUCCCAGCUAGCCGGGGGAGUAUUCAUUUUUUUGUGCGUAAUAAGGAGGCACUUCCGGUGGGUCCGAGCUGACAGCGAGGGGAACGUUUUUUUUCGCGAAAUACGGUGGCCCGUCCGGUGGGUCCCAGCAGUCAGGGGGAAAUAAUUUUUUCGCAAAAUACUGGUGGCCCGUCCGAUGGGUCCCUGCUGUCAGGUGGAGGAAUAAUUAUUUUCCGCGUAAUAAGGAGGCACUUCCUUGCGGCUGCAGUGGACCCAGCUGUCAGCUUCUCCAUGUACAGUAUUCUUCCGAUGGAAUUCGGUCAUUGACCACAUUGACCACGGUGCGUCGACAGCACCACGGCGGUGGACGACGGCGAGGCCUAGGAAGGGGACGACGCGGAGCCGGGGAAGAUGCGGCAGUGGAUGCCCACGUGGAGAGGAGUACAAGGGUUCACUAGUUCGGCUGCACUGUCAUCGCCGCAGAAUAACAGGGGGUGUGGGUGAGUGGAGUGGAGGGAUGGCCUGGCCAGCGGUGGGAGUAGUAUGGGGGCGGUGAGGCCUCCGCGACAGCACAACCGGCCACGGGAGGCAGGAGCAAGCGUCACGACCGGCGCUGGUUUGGGCGGUUGGAGCAAGAAGACCAGAGGUUGAAGAAGCACUACGACCGUUGGAUGGACAUCAUACGGUCAGUCGAGCUAGAAUCGUGCAUAUUGACUAAGUUGACAAAGCCCUUCGUCCCCGUCAACUUAGUAGGCCCACUAUACUGGGUCCCAGCUAGCAGGGGGAGUAUUCAUUUUUUUGUGCGUAAUAAGGAGGCACUUCCUGGCGUGCGAAGAUAUAACUGGUGGGUCCGAGCUGUCAGCGGCGGUAACGUUUUUUUCGCGAAAUACAGAGGCCGUUUCGGUGGGUCCCAGAUGUCAGGUGGAGGAAAUCAUUAUUUUGCGCAUGAUAAGGAGGCAUUUCCUUGCGUGCGGCCAUGGACCCAGCUGUCAGCCUCUCCACGUAUAGUCCACUUCAGAUGCAUGUCGGUCGUUGACCACGCUGACCAUGCCACACCGAGAGCACCAGGGCGGUGGACGACGGCGAGGCCUAGGAAGGGAAAGACACGGAGGCAGGGAAGACUCGACCGUUGUUUUUGUUUCCCACGCGGAGGGGAGUACGAUUGUACGAGGGUUUACUGGUUCGUCUGCCGUCGCCGGAAAAUAACAGCAGGUGUGGGUGAGUAGAGGGAUGGCUAGGCCAGCGAUGGGAGUACGGUGGGGCGGUGAGGCCUGCGCGGUAGCACAGCCGGCCGCGGGGAGGAGGGAGCAGGCAGUCCCGCCGGCGCUUGUUUGAGCGGCUGGAGCAGGAAGAGCAGAGAUUGAAGAAGCACGACGGCCGUUGGAUGGACAUCCAACAGUAUACAGGCCAUCUGUGGAAAGCCUCAAAUCUGUGGGAAACAGCAUAAAUCCCAUCUGCCAUUAUUUCAAAUAAUUUACAGCUCAUUUGCUAAUUCUUACGGGUUUUUUGGAGCCCAUAUUCUUUAUGUUAGCAUUACAGCCCAUAUUGUGGCCACGGUUAAAAAAAUAUACGAAAUUUUGCAUAUGUCAGUGCAGUCUGAACUGUUUUUAAUCCUGAAAUUUCGAGUCACAUUCAGAUUGAUUUUUAAAAAAUAAAUGUAUAUCAAUAUAAAAUCCAAUAAAUUGUCCAUGCAUAAAAAUCAAUGCAAUUUAAAAUCUCGAAAUGAAAAAAAGAUAUUUGAAAAUAAUUGCCGGUUUGAUGUGUUUUAAAAAUGUACAGCCCAUUUCUCAUUACUGAUAGGCCACUCUCCUCGUCUUGAAAGAUUUGCAGCCCAACAGGCGUGAUAAAGUGACUUACUUGACAAAUCACAAAAAACUGGGCUAGCCAUUUUCAGAAAGAAAAAAAAACUACUGGGCUGGCCUGUGGUAAACAUAAAAGAAAAGGCUGUCUAGACAGGCCAGAGUGUCCCGCACAGCCCAGUUGACACCCUGCUUCCGUCUCAAAAACAAAUUAGAUAAAUGCCACUCCAAUUAUGGCGAUUCAUAAAAAUGCCACUGCAAUUUCCAAACUUUGAAAAAUGCCACUGCAAUUUUUGCAAACUUUGAAAAACGCCACUGCAGUUUGCAAACUUUGAAAAACGCCACUCCAGACUUCGAAAAAUGCCACUAGAAAUGGCAUGAAAUGGCAUUUUUCAAAGUUUGGAAAUUGCAGUGGCAUUUCUCGGAUACACUAGAUUUGAAGUGGCAUUUAUCAAAUUAACCCAAAACAAAAAUAACUGGGCGAGCUGCUGGGUCCCUGGUGUCAGCCGCUCGUUGUGCAAUUCUCUCGUUUAUUGACUACGUUGACGAUGGCAUGGGACCCAGAUGUCAGAAAUCCACUAGGAGGAGCCAUUUUUUAUUGGCUUGAAAUAAGGAGGCACUUGCUUGCGUACUGCCAUGACCUUGGCGGGUCCCUGCUGUCAUCCUCUCCACGUACAAUCAUCUCCUGAUUGUGUAUGCGUCAACUUGCUAGGCCCACAAGCCAGCCUCUAAACUGUGGAGGACAAAUACAACCCAUUUAAAAAAAUAACAGCCCAUUCCAUACGUUCAAACAGAAAGUUCAACAUUCAGACCAAAGUAACAGGUCUGAUCCACAUAUAGAGUACUGAACUUCCACGUUGACAACCAUCAUAGCCAAGUUAAUUAUCUACUCCCACUAACACUCUAGUAGCAUACAAGUACUAACUUACUCUUAGCUAACUAGACGAUGCCGGCCGCCAUCUGCUGUCCAUGCUAAACGCCGGCACCGGCGUCCUCCAUCUCGCCUCGGACUUGCCAAAGGUAUGAUAGGAGGCACUUGCUUGCGUACGAGCUUGCCAGUUUCUUCAGAGGUAGGCAUUUUUAUUCAAAAAACUGCCACUUCGCAUCUUGCGUUGCAAAUAAAACUGCCAGGAGCGCAUUUGUAGGCUAGCUAGUGAUCGAUCAGUAACUUGUAAACACUGAGCGAACAAAAAUAAGUAACUGUUAAUGCAUCUCAAUGAUUCACAGAUCAUAUACAAAUAUGUAGCUCCAAAAGCAAAGAUCAGCCACUUUGGAUCUUGCGUCGCAACUAAAACUAACUAGUACGAUUCCCAUACAUAAGAUCAACAUGUUAAUGCAUCUCAAUGACUCACAGAUCAUAUACAAAUAUGUAGCUCCAAAAGCAAAGAUCUAGAAAAAACAUCUGUUCUUCCUACUAACAUGGAUGCUUCUAUUGGCCAACAUUCAGUAUAGACUGAAAGACAAAUUUGUUUGUGAAGUCUACAAUUCCUCUUGCAAACAUAAGUGGUUUCACCAACAACUGGAACCAUGAGAAUGAACCAUACAUGAUGGAGGAACAUGCACUGCAAUAUGAUUUGGUCUUCCCUCGAUCACACUGCGAGACUAUUUUCGGAAUACAAACUUUAACUUAGGCAAAAUGAUGUCCAUUGUAUAAUUAGACCAAAGCAAUGAAGCACCUAGUGUUGGCCAAUAAAUAGUACAGUACUACUUUUUUGCAGUCCAUGAAGUGACUAUCCAAUUUUUCUGUGUCUAUUUUCAAAUGGCACUGCAUGAAGUGACUAUACUAUUCUCUUGUGCAGUUCAACCAAAAUUGCGGGCACUUUGUUGGUUUGCCAAAUAGCAACGGGCAGACAUCUCUGUCUGCACAAAUAUCAAGCAGCUAGUAAACAUAUACCACACCUUAUAUUUGUAGGUUUAAACAUGUCUCUUCCGCUUAGCAUCUGUCAUGUUCUGCACUGGACAAUCUGAUACAGUUAUGUUUUGCCCUGGACAAUUUCAUACUGAAUUGAUUUGCUGGUUCAGAGUAGAAAUAUAGCGCCUAUUCUUCAUCAAACCAAGGAUAUCCAUGUUCGCAGUGAUGGAAGAGGUGAAAUCGAUACAACCGAAAUUGAGCAUCCAAUCAUUGAAUCCUGUCCUGCACCUCCAAUGUAGGUCCACCCUGCCAAAAAAUUCACAUGCAAACCACUAGUAUUAAUAUCUAAUGACAGUACAAAAAGAGUAGCAAGAUAGUAGCAAACCAUGUACCUUCGUAAUGAACAGCUCAUAGUGCCACCAAUUCGAUAUAAAGGUUGGGAAAAAACAUGCUCCUAAUGUUGAACCAGUUGGACUUUUUGUGCAGUUUCACUAAAAUCGAGCAUCCCUGUUUGCAUAGAUAUUGAAAGUGUGAUUACUCUAAAAGUGGCACUAGUUGAAGCAUAGACUCACAAAUAUAAGCAUUCCAAUUUCUUAAUGGGAAAAGGUAGCAAGACUGUUUCUAACCACCUGUUUGAAGGAAUAAAUAAAGCAACAGCGGCUGAUGUGAGGAAGGCAUACAUAGUUUUUUCUGGAAAAGUGAGCCAUUCCUGACCUUUCCUCUUCUUUUAAGCAAAUUUUGUGCAGUUCUACUAAAAUAAAAUGCCAUCACCACCUUGACAAUUCAGUGACACUAUACAAAAGGAAAUGACUUAACAUUACAUCAUGAUGUCAGGUAUGUAGUCGACAGACAUUAGAGACAAACAUACAGACCUCCUCAAGAGAACAGCCGAAGGAGGAGGUGCCCACUCUUGACCUUUCCUCUUGUCUUCAUAAUUGUCUGUGCAGUUUAACCAAAAUAAAAUGACAUCAGCGCCUUAGCAUUUUGGUGACACUGUAAAAAAAUUAACUUAUCUCAUGAAAGUGAGGUAUGUAAACUAUAAGCAUUAACAGUGCAAAAAUCUGACGGGAGUAACAAGUUUCAUCGUUGGUAUACUGGCUGUGCAACAACAUUAGAAUGCCUUAUAGCUGAAAAAUCUUUAAUACAUCCACAAUCAACAGCUAACCCUGAAAUAAUCCAGUGACAUUAAAUGGCAUUGCUUAAAUUUAUGGGUGGCAUUAGAUUGAGAGCGGCAUUAGUUAAAUGUGGCAUCACUUUAGCAGUAGCAUUGCUUGACUUGACUGCUGGCGUUAUACUAACAGCAAAAAAGUGGCAAUAAGAGCAUGGGAGGCACCAGUACGAUGUACCUCCACAGACGCAGAGUGGUGAGGGAGGUAUGGUUGCCCAGAGUAACAAAUAUCCAGGCAGCAUAUGUGGAUCACGGUCCCAUUCUUGUUCUCUUUAGCCACCUUUUUCCUAUGCGAGGACAACAAAUCGAUCGACCUAGUCAUUCUCUAUUGUGUUGUCAUGCCUUUCUACCCUUCUUCAACCAAGAGACACGAGACUCGUUCCUUAGCUACUGAUUUUUCCCUUUUCAACCUAGAUGCGGGUUCGAUGCCUACUCUCUUGGACAGUACAGUCUCCCUUCCUUUCCUUAUUCAACCCAGACAUGGAUUAGUCUGCAUGAAGUAGGGUUUCCUUUAAUAGUGCAAAUUAUGGUUUUUGUCUACGUGGCCAGCAGAGUAGAGGAUAGCAAAUUGGGAAGAUGGUGGAGUGGAAAAAGAUCCACAUGCAACGACGUAGCAGAUGGGGCAAUAGAACAAGGUUAUGGCUCGAAAAGAGGUAGCAUACCUGAGGGUCAGCGGGAAGUGGCUUCGCUCGUGGUCGUCGUCCUCCGCUCACACUACGGCAGCGAGCUUGGGGACGGAGGCCAUCCCGCACGGGCGCUAGGUCUGAGAGGACGGCCUUGUCGUUAGUGCGUGACCUUGCUCGCCGACGACGAGUGCGUCAACACUGCACGUCCUUUUCUUCCCCGGCGGAUCUGUGACCACCGGUGAGGAGGGAGAGAGGGGCCGUAUUUUUUAGAUCUGGAGAGAGGGUGGUAGUGUGAGAAGCAAGUGGGCAGCCCUUAGCAAGAAAGCGCUGAAGCUCCAGCCUAUAUAUAUAUAUAUAUCUUUUUAUAGUACUAGUACUGGAGGUGGUGUAGUGGUAGAGUAGUUUAUAUUUUCUCUGUGUACAGUACCAGUUAGUCAUGCUUCAAAACUGAUUGGCACGCCAUUAAAAAAUAAAGGUCGAUAACUAAUGUGGCACCUCGGGCCAACGCGGCCAGAUCGCAUUUUGCACGAGAAAUUACACACCAUGUUUCGUUGACAUGUGGUCCCGUUCCAACAUAUCAGUGAGACAACGACGAGUAGUAGGAGUAUUUCCGAAUAGACGUGUAGGCCGGGGCGCCUCUUCGUGAACCGUGGCAAACUCGCAACCGUCCACCGACUCUUCGCCUUUCCCUCUCGAUUUGGAACUGCUGUCGCAUGCUCUUCCUCUCCCUCCUCCAUUUUCCUUCAGCCCUUCACCCUUUCUUCUGCCAUUGUUCGAUCGUCUUGUCCAUGGAGGGAACAGGCCGGAAACGACCUCGUUAUUCUUGCCCCGAUCUGAAAGAUGACGUGGUGGAGGAACUCAUUGAUCGGUGCGACAUCAUCACCUCGGCUAGCAUGGCAGGUUCGUUCCAGCCCAUUCUCGACUCAACUAAUAACAUCAUUGCAAGGAACCCAAGGGUCAAGGAGCGGUUUGAUCUCCCCUAUCUUCUUCGUCGUGACCCUGAUGACUGGCGCCGGCACGACGGAGGCCUCGCCCUGUGCAAGUUGAUGCCGCUUGAUAAUGAUACGUGUGAUGUUAAGAUGCCAUCGCUUGAGGGCAAGGCUUGGGCAGGCGCAAAUGGAGAUUGGGUUGUUUACAUUGGGUCCAACUGCAAGUGGGAACUUGUGAAUGUGUACACUCGUCACCGGGUUCCACUUCCAAAAAUCUCAGCACACUACCUAGAGGUUGAGCACACCGGUAAUGUACGCACGUUCAAAUAUGAUCAUGGUGACUGUCGUCUACGGAAGAUAGCAAUUUGUCGAGUUCCUAACCGCUCUUGGAAUUACAAAAACUAUGAUGUUGUUGCUAUCUUCGACAAGCUUGUUGCCGUCCUUGAUGGUUUCACUCGAUGGAUAUUGCUCAAAAAUAAGUUUCUGUACACAGAUGAGUACUGUGAUGCAAUUGAAUACGAGGGCCUUGUGUUUGCUGCCACCACUCGUGGCACUGUUUUUGCAUGGCAUCCUCGUUGUUUCGGUACGUUUGUCUUCCACCGUAAUUAUAAUUGUUUCAACCACAUGCAUGCGGGUUAGCAAGUUUCCCUUUACUAAUUAACCUUCUUCUUGUGUUUCCAAGGUCCUGUGAACAUCCCACCACCUAUACUUGAAGAUUUUUAUAACCAAGGGGGAGAUGAGGAUGGUGAUGAUCACGAGCAUGAGGACGAGCAGCGUCGAUAUACUCUGUGGCGCCUGGCAACUAAUUCCGAUGGAUCACCUCUUCUUGUGUGUAUACAGCCCACUGAUGAUGUUACUGCUAAGGAUGCAGGUGUAGUCUCCCAUGGUCGCACUCUCCGGACCUAUUACAACACCCAUUGCAUGGUAUUCGGGAUGCAUACUAGGGUGCUAGCACCAACUCCUUCUCCCUGGCACAAAAUUGAUAGUCUUGGAGAAAACUCGCUCUUCCUUGGACAAAACUAUCCGAUGAUGGUGAAAGGCGAUCAACUGCUGUUGACACAUUUAUGAGAAACAACUGUGUCUAUACCUCAGACAUUUGGGUGGUUCCCUACCCUGGUACUGAUAUAGUAGGCUGCUUCAGCCUGGAUGAUCAGUCCUGCGUUGGUCUCCAUAUUGACAACGGAUGGCCCGUCCCAGAGAAUCACUUGUGGUUCAAAGCAAGCGUUUCCAACACCGCGGAAUGGUUGAGUUGAAGUUCAUUUCAUGGCUUGUUAUUUGUUGUGUGGUGAAAACUUUAGUAUUUAUAAUGUAUCCUCGUUGUCGAUGUGGGUUGAUGACCUAUUGUACUAUGUAAUAAAAUGAUAUGCCUGUGAUAAACUUACUAAAUUUAUGAAUGGCUUUCGAGUCGCUUCUCUGAGUGAGUGGUGCGACGAGGCAAAAAAAUAUUUUCCGAAUACAUAAUUGUACGUGCAUUGCAACAGGUUAUCGGAUGAGGCCAAUCAACAAUAGUAGUACACUAUUUGUACUAGCUUCACAUGCUUCGUGCGUCGGGCGGGUGUUUUUACUGUAGCCAUAUGUUAAUGUGUUCGUUGUACGUAACAAGCACCUCGAAUCCUCGAUAUACUAGUAAUAUAGUAUAUAGUAGGAGUAAGUAGUAGGAGUAGUAGGGUGGCAUGGGCCAGAACAAGCAUUCAUGUCCAGGAGUACGGCACACGCCACCACCACGACAUCCAUCUGACACCAUAUUAUUUCUUGGAGUCCAUGCGAGAGCAAUCUCUUCAACCUCGUCGUUUCUCUAACUUCAGCCAUCGCACGGCGGGCGAGGUGGGGGUUUGCCGAUAGUCGGUUUCCUUAACUGCGGUCCCACUUGUAAGGCCAACUCCAAUGCACGACCCCAAACGGACCUCUGUUUUACACGAACUCCAACGAUAAUUUUGACUACUCCUGUAGUAAGUUGGAUUAGUGCCUUCUCGAUGCAUUCAUUGUUGAUCUGCGGAGGCUCGAUCUUGCGUGCUUCUUUCUUCUUCGAGUGUAAAGAAGUAGACGUUGCUUCCUCGCAUCUAGUCUCAUGUCUAGCCUCUAUUCUAUACUAGCUAAAAGUGAUAGAACAUCUACUAAAUUGCACUCUAUCAAUAUAUGGAUGUACUCUUCUUCCCAAUACAAAAACUUGCAUCCAUUCUACUCCCUCCGUUGCACAAUACUACAUGCCUUCUAUUUUUCAAAAUAUAUAUGUAUCUAGACAUGUCUUAGUAUAUAGGUACAUCCAUUUUUGGACAAAUGGAAGUCAAGUAUUUUGGAACGGAGGGAGUACACAAUAAUUUUUUUAAGUUAGCACAACUAGUCUAAUCCGAGAGCAGAACCGAAGAUUUGGUCGGGUUCUUCCUCCUUUUGCCGACACGUGGGACAUCCAGCAUCCAAGUCGUGUCAUGAAAGAAAAUAGAGUGGUAGUUGAAGCCACGAGAUGUGCAUCUUGGGUUAAACUGUAAAUAGAAUCUUACUACUCUUGAGUAACUCCAAAAGCGGCCACCGAAGAUCUUUAUUGGAUUUGUUUUUCAUCACCAGCACGUCAAGGUGAAAGAUGUGGAGGUUCAGUGGGUCCUCUUGCGUUUUCACUGACAUGUGGGGCCGCAUGUGAGCAAACAGACGAUGGGCUCCGCGCGUCUGCUGGCUGGCUGAGAAGAGAGAUAGAGGAGGGCUGAGCACGGACUGCAGGAAAUUUGUUCUACGUACCUCGAUAUAGGCUCGAUAUAGUGGGGUGGCAUGGGCCAUAACUAGCAUUCACGUCUAGCAGUACGGCACACGCCACCCACACGAGUCCCAUCCGACACCAAUUUUCUUGGAGUCCAUGCUACAGCCAUCUCUUCUCCCUCCUGUCCUCUUUUCUCAGCCAUCACGCGGUGGGCGGGGUGGGGGUUUGCCGAUGGUCGGUUUGCUCAACUGCGGUCCCACUUGUAAGUGAAAAUGCAACACCGCACGCAUUCCUGCUUGAGCGGCGUGCCGGACCAACUGUGUGGGGGUGUGACGUGAACACGGCAGGCUUUUCCUUUUGAACUCGUAACUUGUAAAAUUUGGUUCUGCUCCAUGGCGCGACCGAUAGAUAGAAAAUAACGAUUUUGCCUAGAGUAAUGAGAAGUUUGCUUCUGGCGCCGUUCAUGCAUGGAGUACGUACGAAAAUUAUGAAGUUGAUGCGAAAGGUAAGAUAAUUACUGUAGUAUCAUAUACUACUACAUGGAUUUGACGGAAGGAUAAAAAUACAUACGGAUCCAUCAAUGUUCAACGACAUCCUCAUGCCCUAGUGCGUCGGGUCACCAACCGACGUGUGAGGAGCAGCGGCAGUGGCGGCGAGCUCAACGUGCUUCUGAACAGUGCCGUCCAAGGUUGCCCUGCGCUCCAAGAAGGUCAGCGUCCUAUCGUCCUCCUCUUGCAUGUACUAGUCCUUGUGGACGAUUUGCGCGUAGACGUGGGUGAUUAUGUCGAUGGUGUCUUUCUGCGCCAGGCGCUGUGCGGCGAGCGCGGCCUCGAGGUGGACAUUCUCCGGCGCGACGGCGGGCAGUCGCAGGGCCACCAGUG
rnacentral:lncRNA from 1 species